AUGAGUAGCAAGUUGCCAAAUGAUCUUAGAGUACAGGUUGUACAUUUCAUCACCUAGUUGGUGGCAUAAAGGAGAGUACAGGUUGUAUAUUUCAUCACCUGGUUGGUGGCAUGAAGGAGAGUACGGGUUGUAUAUUUCAUCACCUGGUUGGUGGCAUGAAGGAAAGUAUGGGUUGUACAUUUCAUCACCUGGUUGGUGGCAUAAAGAUGAGUUCCUUCUUCACAUUUCAUCACCUGGUUGGUGAGAAUAAGGGCAAGGUGUCGAGGCACAUUGUAGCAAGUGUCGAAUGACACAAAGUAUGUUGUACCCUUGCAAAGCACAUUUGGCUUAUGUAUGAAUGUGUUGGAAUGAAUGAUUGAACGAAUAUACUGUGAAGCUGUUCUUUUUUUUGUAUAGUCUUGUUGACAUAUACUUAGACUUUGUUUCAUGUUGGAAGCAUUCAUGUUGAAGCUUUGAACCCAAAUGUUUCAUUGCUAGGAAUGUAAGAGGAUUAGGACCGAUUUGUCUAAAUCACAUUUUUAUUGAAUUCAUGACAAAUAGUCUUCGUUACAUAGGAUGCUGAAUGGCUAAAGCUUAACACUUGUACAAUGUGAGUUUACUCGUAAUAGUACUUCAAGUGAUCAGGGUUCCUUGGAUGGCCAAGAGUCUUGCCAUCGGAGCUUCUAAGCUUGUAGAAGCCAGAGCGACUGAUGCAACAACUUCAAACGGUCAAUCCCAGUUUGGACUAAGUGUUCCUUCACUCGGGACUCUGUCGCAGAGUAAUCUUUUCUUCAAUGUUGGAGUAUCGUGUCUCUGCAUCUUGUAAGGCUUUGCUAGCGUAGUAGACAUGACGUUUGACAUUACCAUCAUUUUUGAAUGAGAACGGAACUUACUGCUGAAGCCGAUACCGACAGAUAGAUAAUGAGAGUGUCACCAACCUCAGGUUUGGAGAGCAGAGGGGCUUUACUCAUGUAGUAUUUGCGGUUCUUGAAUGCCUUGGCACAUUCAUCAGUCCAUGUAAUGUACUUCUUACUUCCCUUAAGUGCUUUGAAGAAAUGAGCACAUCUGUCUGUGGCUUUAGAUGAACCUAGUAAAGGCUGCCACCUUACGAGUAAGGCUCUGGAUGUCUUUUAAAGUUAUCGGUUCCUUCAUGUCGAGGAUUGAUUUGAUCUUCUCGAGAUUAGUCUCAAUGCCUCAUUGGCUUAUCAUAAAGCCUAAGAAUUUGCCAAAGCCUACGCCGAAGGCAUAUUUGUUGGGGUUCAACCUCAUUCGAUACCUCGUCAGAAUGGUGAAAGUUUCAGAUAGGUUAGCGAUGUGUUGGUCAGUAUGUUUGCUCUUGGCUAGCAUAUCAUCAACGUAAACUUCAAUGCUCUUCCUAAUCUGUUCGGCGAACACUGAAUUGACUAGUCUCUGAUAAGUCGCACCUGCAUUCUUUAGGCCGAAGGGCAUGACUUUAUAGCAAUAUAGUCCUCUAUCAGUAGUGAAGGCUAUGUGUUCUUGGUCCGGAGGGUUCAUGAGGAUUUGGUUGUAUCCUGAGUAAACAUCCAUGAAGCUCAGGAGUUCACACCCUGCUGUAGAGUCUAUAAGUCUGUCAAUGAGAGGAAGAGGAAAGCUAUCAUUCGGGCAUCAUUUGUUUAGAUCGGUGCAGUCGACACACAUUCUCCACAAAACCUUUUAGAGCAAGAGACUUUCUUUGGUUGGAUUUUUCUUAACAAUGACCACAUUUGUUACCCAUGUUGGGUAAUUGACUUCACGGACGAAGCCUAUGCCUUUGAGUUUUUCAACUUCUGCCUUCAUUGCUUUGUAUUGUUCAGCAUCAUAAGAUCUUCGCUUCUGUCUCACUGGCUUGGUCUUGGGGUAAAUACUCAAGCGAUGACAUAUGAUAUCGGGAGAGAUGCCUGGCAUGUCCUCGUAUGACAAGGCGAAGACCUCAGUGUUCUCUUGCAAAAAAGAGAUCAAUGUCAACCGAAUAGGUGGUGACAAGGUGGUGCCAAUCUUCACCAUGCGAUCUAGAUAAUCUUUUGAUAUAGAAACCUUCUCCAGCUCUUCAGUAGGUUGUGCUUGCUGGGUGAAAGAGUCAUCUCGAGAAUCGUCAGGUUGACUAUUGCCACCGUGAAGAUCCAAGUUGGCUUUGUCCGGGCUGGUCUUUAUGACUUGGUCAUGUAUAGAAAAGGUUUCCUUGGGCACAUACAGGUGUUGUUACUUGACUGAAGUGUUGUAACAUUACCGUGCACUAAGUUAAUCUCAUCUGAUGUAACCAUUGCCAUAGGGGGUUGGAAAUUUCAUCAACAACAUAUGUGUGGAUACCAUGGCCUUGAGAUCAUUGAUGCAUGUGCGUCCAAAGAUGACAUUGUAUGCCAUUGGGCAAUCAACUACCAUGAAGUUAGUGGUAAUGGUAGCUGUGUAAGAGCAUGUACCAAUGGUGAAAGGUAAGUGUAUGCUCCCCAAAGGUUGCACAAUAUCACCGAAGAAGCUUAUCAGAGGAGAAAUCAAGCGAUCGAGCAAGUGUUCAACUACAUUAAGUGCCUUAAAAGCUUCAGCAAACAUGAUAUUGACUGAAGCCUCCGUGUCUACCAGGAUUCGUCGUACUUCAAAGUUAGUUAUGUGAGCUUCCACGAUCAGUGGGUCGUUGUGAGGGUAGAUGAUACUUCUUUCUUCCUUAGGGUAGAAACACAUUGGAUCCCAAUUAGGCUUUUGAUACUUGCCUCCUCUGAUGUCUUCCACGUGAAACACUUAAUGGCCAGACCUUAAAGCUCGUUCACUAUUUUUCAUAGCCCUGUUGGAAGAUUUAGAUAUGGGUGUGCCACCACUUAUGGAAUAUAUCACAUUCACCUGGCGUUGGUUACGGUUACCCCUUGGAGGGUGAAGGAGGAAUUGAUCAAUUUUUCCUUCACGUGCCAAAGCUUCAAUAUGAUCACGAAGGGUGAUACACUUCUCGCCGUCAUGGCCGUUAUGCUCGUGGUAGCAGCAAAAGGUGCCCGUGUUCUUCGUAGGCUUGUAACCCCACUGCCUCGGCAUUGGCUUCCGUAUCAGGUGUGCUAUGCUGGGGUAAAUGGCCACGCAUAUGGCGUUCAAAGGUGUGUAUGUCUCAUACCUCGGGGUAGAGUCUGUCUUGACACGUGCUUGGCCCACUGUGUUGAUUGCCUGGGGGCGGGCAUUAUCGUGGCGAUACCCUUGGUUAUCGCGAUAAUGUCCCUUACUCCUUUUACUAAAAUGAGAUUGGUGAGGAUGGAAAUCUUUCAUUUUGCCCUGAGAUUGAUAUGUCUGUUGACUUGGCGAAGUAUUAAGUAAGGCAGGGGGAGGCACCGCUGCCAUUUGGAAGGUCGAGGUCUUCUCAUUUGGUUUGAUCUGGCUUCUACUCCCUACUUGCUGAUAAGGGAUGGCUAUGAGGGGUUCCCUUGGUACGUCCUUGCCUCGGCGGAGGCAUGGUUAUAAGCCUGGGCCAUCACCUAAGUCUUCCAAGUGUUGGCAUUGAUCAUGUACUUAAAGAAAUAGUCACCUAGGCCUGCCAUAAAGGCUUUGAGGGCAGUCUUGUCGUCUGCCUCGGCACAAUGGGACUACUCAUGGCUGAAGCGACCAACAUACAUACGUAAUGACUCGUCUGGCUUCUGGCGAAUAGUGUACAAGUCAUCCGCAGAGUGCAAGCAAUCGGUUUAGAAAAUGUGUUGAGAAACAAACAGUUUCCUCAAUUCCUCAAAUGAGUCUACCGUCUCAGGUGGAAGACGACAAUACCAGUUUAGAGCUCCACCAGAGAGGGUAGAGGGGAAGAGAAGACAUUGCUUUUCGUCGGUGUGCAUCCGGUAUGCCAUGGUGGACUAAAAAAGGUUAAGGUGUUAAUCGGAUCCUCCGUUUCAGUAUAGAGUUACAAGCCAAGCUUAUGCUUUAUCUUUGCUUGGAAUGGGUGUCAAGGAUCCUCCUUGUAAGAGGGCCAUGCCUAGGUUGGUUCCAAUCAGGUAUCUCAGCUUGUCGUUCGGCCUUCAACUUGUUUACUUCCUUAAAAAGUUGUAUGACAAAAGGGUCCUGAGUGGAGUCAUGUACCACUGGAGCUUUCUUUCGUAAAUCUUCAUCUCCUCUUGGAAGUAUGAAGGUUUGAUCAAGAGCAUGUGAUUUUUCCCUGGACUCACCGUACUGACUUCCAAGGUAUGUCUGUCGGAACAUCUCUGAGUCCCAUAUACCUUCGUGUUUCUCUAGGACUUGUUGCCCCUUCCCCAAAUUGGUAACCGACUUGGGACAUGGGAGGGGACCGAGUCUUUCAGAGACCCUUGGGUCAUUGAUCUUCGAGCUUACAUGGAUGGGAUUGUCUCGACGUUACUUUAGGAAAUCUCGACAGUCGCAAAAGACGGCUUUCGAUCCUUCCACUCCUUCAGUAAGAAAGUGUCUUCCUCCACUUCUCCUACUUCGGGUCAAAGCAGCUGGGUUGAGAGAAGUCUCAUGUUGAUCAAUGUUUUGAUGAUUAGCUCGCUCCUCAUCAGGGAUACCCAUGUCGAAGAAAUAUGACCCUCCAUGUUAGGGGGCACCUAGAUGAUGGUUGAUGUCCACAAGGGUAACGAGCUCGCGUGUUUGAGUACGCCUAGUUUCGUGGAGCUUCUCAAAGAGUUUCUCAUACUGCUCCUGGAGGACCUCAUUCUUCAUUGUUAUCUUGUUGUUCUGAGCUUCUAGCUCAUCGACUUUUGCUUGAAGAGCAAUCCUCUUUCCUUCCUUCUUUCGUUGCCUCACACCAAGUGCAAAAUGUGUCAUUCUGCAUGUUGUGGCUUCCUUCGCUCCCCAUGUUGGAGAGGGAUGCCUGGUCAAAAAAGAGUGUACGAAUGGUGGAAACCAGCUUAACAAAGUUGAAGAGAGUGGGAAUAAGUGUCGUUCCCAUAGACGACGCCAAAUGUUAAUACACAAAAUCAGUGAGGACUUUGGUACAACAAAAAAUGUUAAGUUUGAGACCUACGCUAGAUUGCUCCGGUCACUAGUGUGGAUAAGUAUGUAAAUAGAUAAAAGCAGGGAAACAAACACAAGAUGUACAUGGUUCACCAUGAUUGGCUACGUCUACAGAGUAGAGAAGUACUAGUGAAUGAUUUAGUACAAAUGACAUUUGGAAAUAUUGUGGGAGAAUGAUCUCAUUUUAUAGAAGAGAGUUUCUAGCUUUGUUUUGACAUUGACACGUGUCGUGUUGUGAUUGGCUUCUAAUGUUGAAACAGAUCGCGCUAUGAUUGACUUCUAAUGUCGACAGGCCUCCUGGUUAGAGGGAAACUCUUCUGGGUCCUUGACGAUAUAACGUUGACCGGUACUCAGUAGUUUCGGGAUUGGUCAAGUAUGGUACAAACACAUGCAAUCAAUCAUAAGCAAUUAAAUAAAAAUUACAUAUUCAUGCUAAGGCUCAAGGCUUCACCAUUCAAAUCAUAGAAAAUAUUCUUAUAAAGAAAAGGAAUGAAAACACCUUAAAGUAGAAAAUCUUCAAGAACCCUAGCAAUUCUCUAUGUCUCCAAGUUUGCAUAAAAGAAACCGUACAGAAAAAACUAGGGCGGCCAAAGCCGUAUACCCUACGCCAAAAACCAACGCACAAUCCCUAGAAAAUAGUCUUUUGUUCCAACUAGGAAACCAAAUAAUAAAUAAAAUAUCUUAGAAAAUAAAAUCCUAAUUAUACUAGAAGAAUCUGCCAAGUACUUGUCCAGCCACGUUUUAGCCUCAGAUAUCCUCCAAAUGCGGCCCAUGAUAGCUUGUUUUGAAGAUCGGGACGUUCUGAACAUAUCUCCAGAAGGCCACGAACCCAUCCGAGGUCAUCUUGGGCUCCAAAAACGCAAUUCAAGCCCAAAAUUUCAUUAUUCCAGCACUGCACGUCCUUCAACUGGAAUUACUCCAAAAUUCGUCCAUUUGACCACGCUUUUCUCCAAAGGAAGUCAAAAGUCUUAUAUUAGAAAUACAAUUCUAAGUAUCAAAAUUCUUCCAAAAUAUACUAAGAAUAUAGUUAAAUAUAUAAUAUAAAAUCUACUCAUCAACCCCCACCCUUUCUUCUCUCCUUUGCAACCCCCACCCACCCUCCCUUCCUUCUCUCCUCUGCAACCCGCACCACCCACCCUCCCUCAUCUCCUCUGCAACUCACAUCACCCACCUCGCACCAAUGGUACCGCCCAUCUCCUCUACAUUCAUCAUCAUCUAUCAUCCAUUGUCAAAGAAAGAAUUCGGAGAUUUCGAAUGGUAUAAAGCCAAAAACCCUAAUUUAAAAAAAAAAAACCAGAAAAAUGAUGAAAUGAGAGGAACAUGGCUGGAGAACACGGAACGAGCGCGCAACCAUGCCGGACGUUAGAAGAGCGCUUGCUCGUUUACGCCGUGAACUGCUAUGACACCCAGAGUUGGGACUCCAUCGCCUUGGAGGUUGGGGGUCGCUGCUCCGCCAAAGCAACGACACUCCUCAUUGCUCUGAAUUGUAGGGACAAGUUCGCCGGAGUUCAUUUUUCUGGUAAGGUUCUCCGGUGAACCUUCCCGCUGAUCCUUUCCUCCGCGCUUGAGAUCUUUUCUCGGACAAGUGGCCUCAGCGUCCUCCUUCAAGCUACGUUCCCUCUCCUCCUCUAACCUCUUCACAUUCAACUCCAACAACCUGUAAAAAACCACACUCUCAUAUCUAAGACCAUUAAACGACGACGCCUUACACUCGAAUCUCUCACAACAGUAGCGAAAUUUACACAAUUGAAAUGUAGCGACGGGGACCUAGCGUCGGAGCUCCUUGACCUUCAGCCUUCGCAGCUCGUCAACCAUCACGCCCAUGCUCCUGGACGAAUCGUCAUUGUCUCCCAAUACGAAAUUAGGGUGGGUGGUGUGGGUUGUAGAGGAGAUAAGGGAGGGUGGGUGGUGCAAGUUGCAGAGGAGAGAAUGGAGGGAAGGUGGGUGGGGGUUGCAGAGGAAAGAAGAGAAGGUGGGGGUUGCAAACGAAAGAAGGAAGAGACGUGGUUGGGGGGAGGUAGAAGAUGGGUGGGUUUUUUUUUUUGUGUUUUUGUAUUUUUUUUUAUUUUUUAAUAUUGAAGUGGGCCUAUAUUGACACAUGGCGCCUAGUAAUUGUCCACGUGGGUGCCACGUCAUCAGUUAACAGAAGUUCUAACAGAAAACUUAACAGAUGUAUAAGACUGUCUCAAAAUUAACACUUUAGGUAUGACUCUAGGACGAAAAAAACUUCAUGUACUAAAUGUUGAAAACCACAAAACUUGAGGGUAAUAAACUGAGAUUUACCCAAUACUAAAUUUAAUCAAACAAUCAUAUAGUUUCAGAUAUAUGUGAUCUUUGAGAUAAGACACAAAAAAUAGACGGCAGAAUCUUUAAAAUAUAUGUACUAAGUGGCUAAAUGUGUGUCAGAAUGUCAAAAGUGUAUGUGUGUUUUUGGAUAGGGUAAUGUUAAGGAGACCAAGUUUCUAAACCAAAUUUUGCAAAUAAAAUGAUGUGGAUGCUAAUGAUUGAUUUAUUACUUAAGUGUCGAUUCACUUUAUGAAAAACCACAUUUUUACACUAAAAAGUCAAUCAUGGUACUAUUCACUUUACCCUUUAUUUUGUUAUUAUCGUUAAAACUCAAAGUUUUCAAGCUACUUUCAUUAGUUUUCCUUAUUUUUUAUUGAUGACACAUAAUUUGGUCUACAAAUUUAAUUUAAAAAUUUGAACUUAGUAUUAUCCUUUCGGAUAUAUGCUUUCCUCCAGACCUAAACAAGGGCUGUGAAAAUAUAAUCCUUCAUCUAAUAAAAAUAUUGGAAGACCUAGACUUUUUCUAUAUUUUAUUGUUCAUGGGAAAGUUAUUGGUAGAAGUUCAGACGGCAGAGUUUGGUCUUUAACAGAUUCGUGAGCAUGGCGUGUAAUGUCCAUUUGUAAUAACAAGAGACAGUAUCAAACACAAUACCUUGUGAGUUGUGCUAUAAGACAAAAUAUCAAUGGGUCACAACUUGGCUCUAUAUAUAGGGCCGUGAAUCUGUUCUAAAUCCUUUUGUCAUUUCUCUCCUCUUUCAAUGUUUCUUUGAAUAAAUUAUAUACAAAGAAUACUUUCAUUUUUAAUGAUAUCGAUGGAAAAACCCAAACACGACGGGAAGAUACAGGUUUGGGAUUGAAAUAAUAUCAGUGUGAUUAUACUAAGUUGUUGAUUCAUUUUUCUAAAAUCAAAAUAAUGCAUAAAUAAUUGUUAUGAAGCUUGAGAAUUUGAAAGUCCAACUCAAAGUUUAUUAUAUCUUGUUCUUGUUCUCCAGUUGAGAAGAUAACAGUGGACUGGUUUUAAUAAGUUAAUUUUCCUGUUUAAGAUUGUAAUACGGUCUAGUGGUAUUUCUUUUCACUGGUUAGUGAGAGGUUUUAGGUUCAAAUCUCGUCAAAUGCGAAUUUGAACCACUUUAUUGUUAGCUUAUUGUGAGAUUAAGCCUACCCUCUUUCCUUAAUAUAGUUAAUAUCGAUUGUUAAAAAAAAAUUGUAAUUAAUUUGCAGAGAUAAAGAAAUAAGGAACACGAGUGCUCAGAGUUUGUAGGUUCGUUAGCCAAGUCAUUUUUGUUUUCGGAUACCUUAUUAUUGAAACAUACUGUCCAGUCAACUGCUCCACUGCAGACGUCAUGGGUUAUGUCACAAACUUGCUUGGCCAGUUUCAGCAGCGUUAAAGACAAAUGUCAACAAAUUAAAUAUUAUUUUUAAUAUAUGAUUAUUUUAACACUACAUAAAAAUUUGGAAUAAGAUUACUUUAAGCUUAUUGUUACCCUCUUUUUGGCUAACAUUUCACCGAUUAAUUUAUAAAAUAUUUUCAUUAAAAAAUAUACAAUAACCAACGGAUAAGUCCCAUUUAUAGCAUGUUAAAGAAGGCAUGAGUUGAAAGUAUACCUUAGAGAUUUUUAAUUUAUUUCCCUUUGUGUUUAACAUUUUUCGUUGUCAUUACGAAUUACUUUAGUACUGUGGCAAAAGCUAAAAUAAAAACUUUCUAGGGUGUGCAGAAAAUAUGGGCUUGUAUGAAAGUGUGUUUAAAAUAAUUGAAAGUGUUUUUAAAUAACUAAAAACACUUAUGAUCAUGUUUGGUAGAAAAAUUAGACGUGAUUAUGAGUUUCAAAAAAGCAUUUGAAGUGUUUUCUAGGAUAAAUAACUAUUGAUGAGGUGAAAAUCAUAGGCCAGAUUUUUUUUAUGUGUGUGUCAACUUUAGGGGUGGGCACUUAGAACCGAAAACCAAAACCGAAACACGAACCAAAUCGAACCGCACCGAAUGAUUUGGUUUUGCGGUUUUGGAACGGUUUCGGUUUUGAAGCCGAACCGCAACAUAGAAAACGGUUUGGUUUCGGUUUUGGCUUUUGAAAACCACACCAAAACCGAACCACACCGCAAAUAUUAAUAAACAUUUAAUUAAAUGUCUAUAUUAAAUUUCAUGUUUUAAUUGGUUAUUUGUUAGAAUCCAUGCACUUAGUAUGAACACAACCACACUAGAAUAUCAUCAUUCAUGACUUUAUUUCGUUCAUUAACUUGAAGGACCUUUAUUAUUUUAUACCAUCACACACACACACGCAUAUAUAUGUACAAGGGUGGACUAAUCUUGUUAUCAAGAGUCGAACAAUGAUCUAAUGAAGUCCACUCAUUUGAAGCAUGAUAUCACAUAUUCUAGUAUGAAAGUUUCGCUCAUGUUUAAUGAAUUCAAAGUUAUUCAACUUGUUUUAUGUUAUACCUUGUAUGAGACACCAUUUUGUUGCAAAAACAUAUUUUAACAUCACAACUGCAUGCAACAUGCUAAUUGUUUAUGUAACAAAUGUCUUUUUCCUAUUGCUAUUGGGAAAUGCUUAUUAAUAUGUUAAAUUGCAAAUUGUACAUUUUUUCUUAAACAUCAAACCAAAACCGUUUGAAACCGCAUCGAACCGAACCAAACGGUUUGGUUUCAUUUCGGUUUUGGCUUCAAAACCGCACCGAACCAAACCGCAAAAAAUUUUGAUUUUGGUUUUGGUUUUGGUUUCACUCAAAACCGCACCGAACCAAACCGUGCCCACCCCUACUUUGCACAUGUAAAUAAAUAUAAAUAAAUAAAAAUAAAAAUGAAAUGGUUACCUAACAACUAAAGAUAUAUAUAAUUUUAUAAUAAAACGAGAGGUCUUUUAAAUUACUUUUUUUUAAUUGUCUUUUAAUUUACUUUGAAAAACAUUGAUAACUUCCAAACAUAAAAGUAUAAAUAUUGGGAAGUAGAUUGAAGUGAGACAUGAUUUAACUGUAAUUUUGUGCUAAUAUAUUGUUUUAUGCAACUUUCUAGGUAGGCAAGUCCAAAUCCCAGGAAAUUCUUUUCCUUAUUUGCCAGAAUAACAUGAUGAUGUAGUAUAAAGUGUACUAUACUACCUCAAUUCCCAAGAAGCAAGAUUCCUUCUUAACCUUUCAAUUAUAAAAACACCUGUCUUAUUCUACUUACUUACCCUAUGAAUAUUGAAAAAGAACAAACACUAGAAGUACAAAAUGGUUGGUCUUAAGCUACGAGGAGCCCUUUUCUUUCACUUUUCCACGAGUUUCUUUUCCAACUUGUCAUUUCUGUUUGAUUUUCUUUUCCUUUGGUCUCCCUUUUGCCCGAGAUUUUGAUUCCUUUCGGCAUAAGAGAAAGCAAUACGUAUUGCAGACGAUGGAUAUUGGAUACUCUCUCUGUUUAGGGAAACUGAAACUAAAUAAAGCAGAGUUCUUGGUGUGAUGGCUUUAACAACACGUUUUUUGGACGGUAGACUCAUCUCUCUUUUCCUCUUCCUUAAAGCUUUAAUAUUAUUAAGUUCUCAAGCUACUUUAGGACUUAAGAAUGAAGCACCAAGACAAUAUCCCACACUUUCUUUGCUAAAAAUAAAUAACAAGACAACUGAAAUGAAUUGGUAAGGAGUAUUGUAUAUCUUCAGAAAAAAAAAUAUGAAGUAAAUAUGAAUAACUACCGAUUGAUUUUUUAAAACAUUUCAAUUAAUAACUUAAUGUCUUAAAAAAUGGAUAUUUGUUAGGUCGCCAGUUUUAAUUUUCUAAGUAGCCCUUUAAAUUCCGCAAUACUAUUUGAUAAAUUGUUUAUUUUCUAGGUCAUCCUUUAAAUUCAAUCAUGCAAAAAAUCAACCUAAUAAAAAUUCAUUUAACCAUGUAAUUAUUGUUUCAUAAUUUAAGUAUUUAAUUGAAAUCAUGAUCUUUCUAUACCCAAUGACAGUUUGAUGACUGAGUGAUAUCAGAUUUCGUUGAUUUUGAUUGAGGGACCUAAAAAAUAGACAGGUUAUAUCAUCAUUCAACUAUGUAGCUGCAAUCUUAGUCUUGUUCGAUACAAGUUUUGAUGUCAACAAUUCUUAUUAGUAUGCAUGUGAAAGCGAUGAAAGAACUUUCCACCAUUGAAAAUUGGUGUGUGCGUUCCGGGAUAAGAAGGAUAAAAGGAGAAUGUCCAAAAGUGAAAGUUGCUAGCAUUCCUCUCGAUAUUUUGUUGAGAUUAUAGAAUAUCACAUCAUGAUUAAUGCAGAACGACAAAGAGAUGGAGGAUAAAUUUUGAAAACACAAAGCCUAACAGAAAAAUGAUAGAAGAACAACGCUCAAUUCUUCAUAACCAUAAAAUUAUAAUUUCAAAUUGUCUGAUCGCAACUUCUCAACCCUCCUUGAUAUACUACGUUGCCACAACUCAUUCGUCAAUGCUCUUACAAUUUCCUAUGCCACUAAAGCACAUUUAACAGCAAUUAACAAGUCCCCACACAAAACCUAAUUAAAACAUUAAAUCAUAGUAAAGCAUGAAUAUGCCAUAACUUGACUUAAUGGUUCAGCACCAAAACUCGAAGAGACUAAAUUAAUUCACCCUCUUUAUGCACUGCAUCAAUGAUCAAUUUAGAUCCUUGUAACAUAUAGAAGACUUCAGGUCUCUCCAGUCAUUGUAAAUUUGUUUUUCAUUGGUAAUUAUCCCUUAGAAUGAGUGGCCAUCUCUUGCAAAAUAUUGAAUAUUUCGUAAAUUUUGUUGUCAUGAUUAUUCCAUUAGAUUAAGAGUUUAGAAUGAAAACAUGUACAUUUUAUUUUUGUCAAAAUUUUAAUUAGUCUAGUAUAAAGCACACUGCUUUGAUAUACUUAACUAUUUGCAAAACUGCAACAUCUAGUUUCCUCUUAAACAGAAUUUCUUUUAUUUUUUUUGGUAAUUGAAGCCUUAAGAAUAUUAAUACUGAUGACUGCUGAACUUGUGGAAUGAGGAUCCUCUCGGGAUCUUUAAAUCGUAUCUGUUUAUCGUAUAUUAUGUGGUUAGAAAUUAUUUUAAAUAUUUUUAUUUAAAAUUAAACAUGAAUAAUAUAUGACGAAAACUGAACGCACGAUAUACGAUGAACGAAUACGAUUUGAUGAUCUUCAGAAUCUUCACAAGGAGGACCCUCAUUCGAACUUGUGUAUGCCUGCUCAAUUCCCGAUGGUGAUCUCCUCCUAUUUUUGUCUUUGACAGUGACACCGCCAAACUUACGUACUAGUGAUUGGACAGUCAUUAUUUCUUAACAGUUUGAGGAACUAGCUAGCUAGGCAUCUUUCAGACGAGGAAAAAAGGAACCAGACAUCGUAAAGUUUAUGCUCAACUUUCUAAUUAACCAACAACCCUUCUUACCGUCGUUAAAGUAGGAUUAUAUAUUUGCCCUUUAAUUUGUUCUGUCAAAAUUAAGAAACUGCGAAAGAAAGAGUAGCUUAUAAUCUAAGCUCUCCUCUUGCGAUCAUAUGAUUCCUUUCUUGUCAAUUUUAUAAUAUGGUCUACGUACCCUACCAUUUAUGACAACUUUAGAACACGUAAAACUCAAGCCAGCCCCUAAUUUUAGGAUUAAAAUAAUAGGCAUGAGAUCGAUCUAGAUAUUGUGCAUAUGGCCCCUGUUGUCAAUAUGUGCAGAGACUGAUGUGUCCCGGCCGGACCAGAGGUCUUUCUGCAUGUUAUUGCAUGCAUAAUUUAGGUAAUUAACUAGUUCCCCUGAUAUUAUUGGCACAUGGGGUAUCUUUCUUAAUGAAUAAAUCUAUUGCUCGCAAGUUAUAUUAACCAGUAAUUAACCUUCAUUAUCAAUAAUCCAUAGGUUCUUUCAGAGAUUGAAUUUCUCUACCUUCGAUUGUAUUGAGAAAAACUACUUAAUAAAUAAAUCCCUUGCACUAAUUAUUGUUUUUUUGUUUAAUUAGAAUCAUCAUUCUUUUCAUUAUUUUUGUUUUUGUUUUUCAAAUUCCUGAUAGCCAAAUUUGGUAGCAUAGUCGAUAAUUGUAUGAAUGUCGCUUCAAUUCACAUAUAAUACACAGACAUAAUAAUCUAUAUGUUAUAGAUAUAGUGAAUAUUUGUAAUGUUAUUCAUGUUCCAGACAAACAAAAAAAGAUAUUGACUUGUGCACUGCUUACAAUGAUAAGACAGUUAAUACUGGCCUUUUCUGAAACCCGAAGGGUUUUUCAACUUUUAUUAUAUAUGUAGAUAAGAUACAUGAUGAGAUACAAUGUUAGGUUUGAGGGUUCCCCAAAAUAGAAUCCAAUGAAAAAACUAUUAGCAUUGAUAGUCAACGAAAACCAAAAACUACUUGCGGCAAUUUAAAAAAAAAAAAAAAAAAAAAAAACUACUUGCGGCAAUUUAAAAAAAAAUAAAUAAAUUGCAUAUGGUGCUUUACUGGCAGAAAGUAAUAAUAUUUAUACAAUUUGGUGAAAGUUCAAUCCCUAUUGAUUUUUAUUUUCGCUAACAUUUAAUACCUUAAUUCAUUAACGAAAUCGUUUGUCUAAAGAUAUUAAAAUCGAUGUUCCGAAGCACCAUAAUUUUUUUAGUUAAGAAGAUGAAAACUAAGAAAGAUCAUGUAUGAUCAUAUGUCCCGUUUCUUGUCGAGAAAAAUUUGUAUAUUAUAUGUAUAUUUCUACAGUUGUCAAAACAGACAAGACACGAACGAACAUACAUUGAAUACUAGCUAGUAUGGUUUAUGACAUCCCAUAAUAUGGAUCAUUCUUGGGAUUGUUAAACAGUACAAAUCUCUCAUUGUCCCAAAGAAAAAGAGAGUGGAUUAAGAAGGACCUAAAUUUCUUUCUCUUUCUUGUUUCACACACACACACACGAUCUCACAGAAAACUUAAGAAGGACAAGAUUAAUCUAGUUAAUCAGAGUUGAUGGAUCCCAAAGCCGUGUCAAUCACUCAACUUGAAAUGUCAAACGCUGGACAGAUCAAUGAUCUUAACCAACAGCCAUCAAAUUACGCCACAAAUAAACCCACCUAAAGCUACCUUAAUCCUAACUUAUCCUCUUCCUUCCAAAUAACAUGAACAAAGCAAUAUUCACACCAACCCCUCAUCUACCAUCUCUCUCUCUCUCUCUCUCUCUCUCUCUCUCUCUCUCUCUCUCUUCUCGUUCAUCAUGCCUGUCAAUCCCUCAUCUACCAUCCCUCUCUCUCUCUCCUCGUUCAUCAUGCCUGUCAAUAUAUAUAUAUAUAUAAAGUGAAAUAAUUUUUUCUUCAUCCACACACUUACAUUGAAUUAUUCAAUCUAACUAACUAUAAAAAAUAAAUAGCAAUGCGCAAGAUGAAAAAGAGAGUAAAAAAUCACAUUUGUGUAUUAACCUCUAUUUUCAUUACUCAUAAUAAAAAAUAAAGAGAAGAAAAUUCAAUCCAAAUGAAUAAGAAAGUCAAAUUAUACCAAUGAAGAACCUAAAUAAUAAGAAUUCAAAGAAUACCAAUUAGCUAGCUAGUUGUGGAGGAAAGGUAAUUCAUAUGAUUGAUUGAACAUAAUUAAACAAAAGAUGUACAUCCAGAAUUUACCAAUUGGUUAGUUGUGAAGGAAUUGAAGUAAUUCACACUCACAGAUGAUGAAGGAAUACAAAUAUAAAUCCAAAUCCAACUGUUUGAAAAACUCAUCCAAGUACCCCUCCUAUAUAUAACCUGGAAAUUCAAUCUUGCCCAGCAGGCUUGAAUCUAUCCAUGAACUUGUAAUACAAAUUAUACGGACGUGAUUGUCACGUUUUGGACCGUACAUAUCCCACAUAUAUAAAACCCAGAAACCAAAAAUCGUGAAAAAUAAAUAAGAAAAAAGGUGUAAUAAUAGUAGUCCGUUGAAUUGAAUUGGCACCGAUCCAUGAAGCAGCUUUGAUUUAUGUACAUGGGCAGCUCCUUUUGGCACGAGAACUGAUCAUAAAGCUCGAUCUGAACAUAUCUUCAACCUCUUCGCGGUUCGUGGUCUCGAAGAACUGCAGUUUCCUCUUGCAUGAAGAACCAACCCUUCUGGCCGGCUUUCUCGGCGCAGGCGGACAUGUAAGAAUCGUGGGGAUUUUGUUCUCUUUGGAUGUUGGUGUGCGGCACUCGGAGACAACGCUGUCGUCGAUAUGAGAUGGCGAUGGUUGCGGUCGUGGAUGCGGGGCUGAAAUUUUGAUGGUGGGGAGUCUUGGAUUUGGGAGGUCUUGGCAGAAGUCCAGACCAGUGGCCAUGGUGGUUUUUGUAGUGGAGAAACGGAGGAGGUGGGAGAUGGUGUGACAAAUAUUUAUAUAGAGGUGUUUUUGUUGGGAGCGAUAUGUAUGUUUUGUGGGGCUAUUAUAUAUUUAUGGAUUGGGGAGAUGGGAGGAGGGAGGGAUAAAGAGGUCUCAUCACAACGUGUUAAAGAGUGGGAAGGCGUGCGUUAGAAGGUAAUACAGCUGAGAGAGACAAAGAAAGAAAGGUCAUUGAUGCUUCUUUAUUCUAUCUUUUAGCUACAAACCUUGUCUUUGGAAAAUGACCCUCCCUCUUCUAUCUCCUACCUCCUAUAUCAAAUUUACCCUCAUUUUUAACCUCCACCACUAUGUUACCAAUACAUAUUACCAAUCUCUCUCUCUCUCCCAAUUAAUAAAUUCACACAUAAAACUCUUUGAGUUUGAGACCUUGAAUGAGCUGGAAAAAAAACUGUUUUUUAGUGUUGUCUGAUACUGUGAACUGUUUAAUGAAUUAUAUUAGGAAGUAAAAUAGUUAUAUGGGUCGAAUAAGCUAUUACCAAAUUCCUCUCUCUUUCUCUAGCUUUGGGAAGGAUUUCCGACCACUUUUUUUUCGCAUGCAUUCUUGUUGGUUGAUUGUAUAUGGAUUGGAUAAAUCAAAGAAAAAUUAAGGAACAUAAGUAAAUAGGGGUAUGUAAAAGGAGGACAAGGGUUGCGAAAAUCAUUUUCUUAUUACCAAUCUUUCUCAAGUAAUUAACUUUACAUUUACAAAAUUAUAAAAUCUUAACUUUAAAAACAUACUCACCCUUGGAGUGUCAAGGAGAGAAUGUGUCUCAACAAAACAAAAAUUGAAUUUUCAUAAAACUUUCCGAGCAUGCGACCUUGUGUGAGCGGGAAAUUGAUACUGGGUUUAAUGUUGUAUGAUAUUGUGAAAAAAGUUUCAUGAAAUUUUAUUAGGAAGUAUCUAUAUAUCUAUAUCAUCAAAAGAAAAUAAUUGUGUAUUUACGCAUAACAUUUUUGUUUAAUUUUGGGCCUAGUUUCUAUUUUUGAGUGGUUGAGCUGUGAGGGUUAUUAUAUGGAAUGUUCUUUUAGGUCAUCGAAAUGAAUGAAUAACCAACAAGUAGCUAGGCAGCUUAGAGAUUUAAUUAGCUGAUCUUGAUCAGCAUCUGGUGUCAUGUCAAUAUCGAUCCUUAAUUUCCUUUUGGGGGUUAGAUAUUUGGCAUUAAAGUUACAUUCAUUAUUAUCGUUUUCCAUCUAUAAAUUGUCAAACUUAUGGUAUUGUGUUAAUAUUUUAAAGAGUAUUUUAAGUUACAUAAGUGAGCCAGUCAUGUUAUUAAUUAAUUUGUUUCGUAAACGAUAAUGGCCAAUUAGAUAUGUUUACUGAAAAAGAAGUAUUGAUGGAAAAUAUUAAUUCAAAAGUAACCGAAGACAUCUCAUUCGUGACAUUCUUUUAGAAGAUUAUGUUGUUUAACUGUGAAUAGAAUGCUACCGUUUCGAUUCGAAAAAGAAGAAAUGGAGAGAAAGCAACUGAGGUAAAAGAUUUUGCUACCCAAGAAAUAUCAAACAUAUAGUUAGAAAUUUAGUCGAUAGAUAGCUGUACAAUAGAAGCAUCGAGUUUCUGGGGCCAAAGCCCUUUGCAUAGUUGCAUGAAUGAUGAAUCAGAUCUUAUUCUUCUUGCUUCUUUUUUUUCUUUUUUUUUUUUUUUUUGGGCUUUUUUUAACUUUUGUUUUGGAUCGACAUGUUAACGUAAAUCCUACGUUAGGGGCAAAAGGUAGUAAUCAAAAGCUUUAGGUUAUAACGAUGCGCCCUGGAAGAUGGUGUAUCCCACUCUCUGCCACAGCUGGGGCUUUGACAUGAUACUCAUGUUUUCUUUUUCUUUCUUUUUGGCAACCGGCACGAUAUUCAUGCUCAGCGCAUGCAGACCGUUUAACGGAUCCACAAUUUCUUUUAUUUCAUAAAUAAAAUACUUAUGAUUUUGAUGAACUUUGUAAAAUUUACAGGUAUAUUUUUCUCGUUUUUUAUUAUUGCAUAGUUCGUGUUAAUAUAUAUUUAGACAUUUAAGGGUAGAGAGCUUCUUGGUCUAUGAUCAAGAGUUACUUAUAUGGUACGUGUAUCAUGUUACUGUAAUGUCUUGUGCCAAUAGUAUAACUAUACGUGCAAGUUUCUCUAUGUAUGACGUGUAUUAGCAUGGUACACUACAUUGAUGAUAUACGCCUGCUAUGUAAGUGGAUCUCUUAUGGACAGACCAAAUUUGUUUCAAAAGAAAAAUAAACUUAAAUAAGGAUAGCCAAACCAACUUGGUCCAACUUUUUUCACUGCAUAUAAUUUUAGGGUUUUGACAUUUUAGAAGUAUACAUUUCAGAAUUUUUUACAUUUUAGACCAUUCCUCGUACACAAAAAUCAUAUGCAUCUAGUUCAAAUUAUGUUAAUUGCAUCUUUGGAAUCUAACAAUUUAGGAUCUAUUUGGGAUUGUUUCCAAGAAAAUGUUUUCUAACAAUUAAAAGUGCUAAUAAUUGUGCUUGCCAGGUUACUUCACCCAUUAGUGUUUUCAAGAGAAGCUCCUGCUAUGUGUUUUUUUUCAAGAAUCAGUUAAGUUUUUAAGUGUAAUUCGACGUGCUUAUGGUGCCACUUCUAGCAGAAAUGUUAUGAGCAGAAAUAUUCUUUUAGAAGCAAUUACAAACGAAACCAGUAACUUAGUUUAAUUUGUUUUUGUUAACAAACAUUAGCCGACCCCUUAGAAAAUUGUAGUUCCACCCCUAUGAUUAGAACCUAAAAUUUUGUCCGACCCAUAUAAAUUUACACUACUUUGUAUACUAAUUUUUUACAAAUAAAAUUCAAAUGCUAUGGUAGUAUCUAUGUAAACUUUGGAAGUGCAUGGAUUCAAAUUUAUAAAGAAUAAAAUACUUGUGUUAAUUCCUCAUAUAGGGGAACCUACUUGUCUCCACACUUAUAAUUAACGUAUCUUUACUGUGAAAACAUUGUAAUCAGAAAUGUUCAUUAUCUUUAUUAUCAUUAAAGAUCUAAUGUGCAAAAGAUCAUUUGGUAUGGAGAUAUUUUAGUCAUUCACAUGCAUUAAAACAAAUGGACAGUUCAUUAUGAGAAUGAUGCUUGUUGCCCAAACCAUUGAUUGGUUUGACAUGUGGCUAAAGAAUCUCCAAAAUGGAAUAAUUUUUUACAGAUAUGAUAUUUGGAUGAUGAUAAAGAGAAUGAACAAUUUUGAUUAUGAUGUUUGUACAAUAGUGAACAAUUUUGAUUAUGAUGUUUGUACGAUAAAAAUAUAUUAAUUAUAAACAGGAAGACAUGGGUAUCACUAUUCACCUCAUUAAAUAUGUGAGUAUAAUGUCACGUCGUGUAUAAAAAAAACCAUAGCACUUUCACCCACCAACUGGUAUAUACUCUUGGAGCAUUUUAUCCUUUACGGUAGAUGAUACCUACCAAUAUAAUUAAUUAGCCUAGCCUUAAUAGGUGAUCUUUUCUUUUGGACGUUUGCACAAUAAUUGAUUGAAAUGUUUUUAGAUUUAUAUGUUUUGGCCUCAUCGAUUGUGUUCAGUCCCACCAUGUGCGCGUAGAGAUGUAUAUAUAUAUAUAUAUAUAUUAGCCAAGUCUAAUAAAACAGAGCAAUCGUAUAAGACGAUCGAUCGAAACGGUGCGUCCAGCAGAGCAGCAGCAGCAUAGGAUUCCAUGCAAAGAGCCUUGAAUACGCUUAUCUACCAGCCACCAAACAUGCAUGAUCUCUCUCUCUCUCUCUCUCUCUCUCUCUCUCAUACUAUUAAAAUCUAAAAAAAAAAAGUACAAAAUAUAAAGUAUGGAUUAGGAUUACCAAAUACCUCUCUCAUACUAUUAAAAUCUAAAAAAAAAAAGUACAAAAUAUAAAGUAUGGAUUAGGAUUACCAAAUACCAACCCGUCGUGAUAUUGAAUUUUUCCACGUGAAGUGUCCCCUUCCUAGCUUGGUUUUCACCGUCAAUCGAUAUACGAAAGUGAUAUAUAUUGACAUAGGAGAAGAAUAAUGUUUGGCCACUCAAAGACAAGUAGUCUUAUUUUAAAAAAUUUCGUGUUUUAUUUACAUAAUUUUGUGUUUAUAAUAUGAACCAUUUAUAUUAUGAAUCACUUUAUAAAGGUCAUUCUAUCAAAAAUAAAUUAAAACUAAGGUCGUUAAGUCAAUCAACUAUAGCAAAUAAAUAGAUGGUUCGUAAUGCUUUUACCAUUUUCGCCCAUUUGUUCGUAGACAAUUUGAUGUCUAAACGAUCUUAAUUUCAACUGAUUUUUUGCUGACAUGAUCUUGAUAAAGUGAUUCAUAAUAUGAACGGUUCAUAUCAUAAACACGAACGUCCAUGAAUUAGAAACGAACAAUUUUGAGUAUGAGUUUCUACUCAUUCUUUGAGUAGCCAAGUAUUAUUCAUAUGAGAAAUGCUAAGGAGACAAUCUCAAAGUGAGACUCUUUAUAGACUUUCUGCUGACUACCUCACAAUUUAACGUUAAUUCUCGUGCCAAUAUUAUAAAUAAUUGUACUAAAAGUACAAGGUGACAAAGAAUCCAUAGAAAAUCCUACUUUCGAGAGUCUCUUUUAACAUGAGAAACUUCUCAUGAACAUGCAAAUAAUAUUCCCUUCACUACGUACCAUACAUUUUCCUAAAUUUUCAUGAUUUAUAUAACAUGGUUCCAAUUUUGCCGAAUGUCCCCGAAGGUAAUAUUAUAUUAUUUGUAUGAUAUGAUAUGGUGCAUGCAUGUAUCUUAAUAGUUUAGAUUCAAAUCAGUUCAGAGCUACCUACAAAUGAAACAUGCACUACGUCUUAAGCACUGUCAUAAUUUGAGAUCCAAUUCAUGAGAUUCGAAUCUUUAGAAUUGUCUUGUUUGGUGUUUUUACCAUUAGUCAUUGUGUACGUUAACACUAAUUCAACUUUUUUGGACUUUUGAUGGUUAUUAUUAUAAUUGGUAGCCAAAGAAAAAAAGGGUGUUGUCAAGUUAAAAUUGUUGUUUUGAGAGCAUUGGUAAUAUAUAAUUAAUGAGAUUGUGUGUCUACAAUUAUUUAGAUUAGCCAUAUUCAAUCUUUAAAUUUGUUAGAAUAUUUCAAGUUCAGAUCUUAUGAACGAUGAAUUUGAACAAUAAUAAUAAUGAGAUUGUAUGUAGGCAUGUGAGUUUGGUUGGGUAUCGUUCUCAAGGCAAAAAAUACGUACAGGUGUGGCUUCAAUGUUACGUAGUACUUAAUGAUAGUGCUUUAGGCAUUAGAUUUGAUUUCCACAAUUAUUAGGUCUUUUAUUUUUAAUCUUAGUCAAUUAUUUUCUAUAUCACUUAAUAUUGAAGAAAAAUCGAAAAAUACAUGUAAUGCCUACAAUUAUAUAAAUCGAAUCCAAAGAAGUGUUCACAUGGCUUACUUUAUAUAUGCUAGCUAGAAAAGUAAUACAUAUUUGAUCCUCUAAAAUUGGUUGUCCUAAUGGCCAUACAUAUAAAGUAUAAACGUAUGCAUAUAUUUACAGCACAAUGGCUGUGUAGAGAGGUUAAUCAUGAUUUUAUCCUAUGCAAAGUUUUAUCAUAUGAGGUAAUUAAACUAAGACAACAACAUUCCGAAUCUUGCCUCGUUCUUUUUUUUUUUAAAAGAGACCAGUUGGUGGUCUUCAUCAAUAGUCCAUUCUUCUAGGGGUUGGAAGACUCAGAGAGACAUUUCAGCAUUUUGGUUACCGUCGUGUAAUUUACAAGUGUCAAGAAUGGCAUGUGAAACAUGACCUGGACUUCUCAUUAACUACUGGGUCACUCCAUGGCGGUCCCAAUCUUACGUCGUUUAGUUUUUCUUUUCUAUAUUAUAUUAUUUAAAUAUUCAGUACGUAUGACUUUUUACGUACACACAUACAUAUAUAUAAGGGAUGUGAUAUCCACACACUCUAUUUUACUUCUCACAUACCUUUUUAAUUUUCAGCCGUCAGAUCAAAUGAAUUAAAGAAGAUCAACAUACAUAAAUUAUCAAUGGGUGUAUGAGAAGUAAAAUGGGGUGUGUGGAUAACACACCCCAUAUAUAAUAAUAAGAAACCCAUAUGUUGCAAUUUGCAUGAUACAUCUCCAUUUAGCAGACAAAAUAUAGUCACGAGAAAGCUCUGGAGCAAAGGUUCUUUCUUCAAUCUAAUUCUGUUUAGCCUUAUUUAAUUAAUCAACUUUGUUAAGGAAAACUAAGUCAAUUAGCAAAGGGGGAGGGAGGGACUAGUUUAUUGUCUGCUUUGACUCGAAUACAAAAGUCAGGUAACUUGUACCACAUAAAUUCACUGAGAUUAAUUCAUUUGUUCAUGUAAGUAAAAGUAUCCAUAUUGUACGUAAAAAAGUUAAUUUGAGUUAAUAAAUGGAUACAGGAACCAAUGGUGUAACAUUAAGGGAUUUUUUUUUCAAAUUUUUUAAAGACGCAUACUUAACUAAAACUAUAGCGAUAUAGACUCUGCAGUUUGAUAACCAUUUUAUUUUCAAUUUUUGUUCACUUUCUUCGAAAACUGAAAAAUAAAAUAAAAUUUAUGGAACAAUAGAUUUUGUUAGAUUAGAUGUUAAAUUAGCCGCUAGAUUUUGUUAGAUUAGAUAUUAAAUUAGCCGCCGACAGGAUUGAACUCACACAGUCAUGCAAAAGCUCAACUCAUUUCCACCACUAUAGUAAAUGGUCACUUGCUUCGAAAACUGAAAAUUGGAUACUACUUUUUGUGUGUGUGUAUAAAAUCGCAUAAUUGCAUGAAGAUUUAAAUCAGAGGCUUGCUUUCACCUGCAAUCUCUUCAUGAAGAAGCACAUGUACUUUUGUUUACCUAUGCCAAACACUAACCACUACUUUAAACCAACAGUUUUGCUCAUCCACUUCACCCAAACACAUCAAAAGGAGUUUGUUUCGGUUUUCCAGGCCAUUACGAUCUCGUAGCCAUACUUUUAUAGUGCUGACCAUAAAAUGCUUGAACAAGGUCCAACUGCUGCUAAACUAAAACAUCCAUCCAUAAACUCGGCAAAUGGUGGUAGAUGAAGGAAGUUUGGGUUCUACUAUCAAACCGACAAUAUGGAGAGUAACCCCAACCCAUGCAAGGUUUAAUCCAUUUGCGAUGUGAGACUUUGUCCUUCACAUUCUCACUAAAAACACCUGAUUCUGGAAGGAUGGCGAAUCGGAUCACAAAUAAUUACAAGAGAAUGUGAAUCCCUAAAAUGUCACCAGAACAACCCUCUAUCACAAGAGUGCAACUGUGCGAAAGACCAUCCCGCAAUUUUACGAAUGUAAGCAUGCAGAGUACUCGCAAUGAUAGCACAACCCAUCAACCUAAUAAUCUUAACUCAGCAAUGUCUCUCUAAAACAACAUGGAUGCCGCCGUUUGAUGAGUAAUGUACAAGAGAUAAUUAGAAAUUUAGAUUGUCGAGGAAAAGAUGAAGCAACACAUGAACCAUGUCAAGUAUGGAACAAGAUAAAGCGAUAAUCUAGAGAAAGACCACACAAUUAAGUAAGGAUGAAAUAACAAAUGACUGGCAUGUACAUAACUCGUUGCUCACUCAGCACUAGCAAAAUUUGAAACUAUACUCUUAAGUUCAUUCAGACCAGAAUUUCACAAAGGCGUCUAAAAAAGCUUUAAAUACAUCCCAAAGUGGGUUACCUUCUGGUCUUUUGGACUUUUUAGAUGCACCUUCCCAUGAUUCACUGCCCAAAGAAACAAUUGACAAGAAAAAUUAAUCAUCCUGAACAAUCUUGUCAAAUUUCCUAGUUUUGUGAAGUAACUGAACUGGGUUUACAACAUAUACUUACAGAUUAAUUCUGUCUAAAGUUGGUUUGCUUCCCUUCGUCAAACUGCUGCUGGUCUGGACAUCAACUUCAUCUUCAACCACAAGCACCUCUUUGGUUUUCAACAGCUCGCUGCUACCACUGGUACCGUUGAUAUUCUUUGCAUGUAAACUAUCUGGAGCUUUAUCAGCCUGUUAAUAUGCACCAACAAUUUAACGUUUAUUGGUCAAUGAAUCUGAAAUUUCCACUCCAACAAGUUUUGAACAAUAAUAGGUAUACCAUUCUUCAUAUCAUUGUUAAGGAAAACAGAGUUCUUCACUCAACAUGGUAUGGACAAUCAAGUUUUUGCUAUCGCUAUUAAUCUAAGAGACAAUGGUACAACAGUAAUAACAUCAUGGUUAGAACUAGAUAAUACGUAUCACAAUAUGGAUACUGAACACAUCUAAUCCACAAUUGUGAAAAUUCAAAAACAUGACAAUAUUGACAGUUCAGUUGUGAAGUUUGGUUGGUAAUUAUGACAAAAAUGAUGAAAAUCUACACAAGAAGACAUUCCAAUUUAAAACUACCUUAGAUCCCUCAGUCAGCUGGCUUUGUUCAAAGAUCUCAGAGGUUGGAACAUCUUUAUGAGGUGAUUUGACACUAAGGUCUGUGCUUCCUUUUUCAUGCACAAUACCUUCAUUAAAGGUUGAGGAAUUUGAGCUUUCAAGUGAUGGAUCUAUGGCAUGUCCUAGUGCUUCAUCCACCGGGUUGGAUUUGCUUUCAACCAAUGGACUUGAAAGAUUUAUUGCUACAUUAUCAUCCAUGUUCUUCAUGGAACUUAAUCUAUCCACUGGCGAACUAUCAACACAAGCUGACUCCAUCGCUCUAGUUCCUUUGUCCUCAGUAGACUUAGUCAAAUCUGUUACUACUUGUAAACUUCUAUCCAAGCUCUCAGGUUUCCUAGUUACUGGCUUUAAUGGGAAUGUCUCCACUAUUACAUCUGCUGCCACCUUAGGCCUAGAUGUUGCCAGAACUUCUUCACCAUUCUUCUUUGCUUCCAUAGGUUCAACUGGUUGCGGCUCUGUACAUGUUUGUACCUGCCUUUCUUUCACUUUCAUAUCUACCUCGCUGCCAUUGAUUUGUCCACUUCCAAAACUCUGAUAUUCAGGCUCAGUACAAUGCUCAUUAGAAACUAUAGAUUCAACAGCAACAUGCUUCUCUAUUUCCACUGGUCCAUUUACUUCUAAAUCUGUACUUUUCAGUUCAUUAAAUUCUCUGUCAUUCACUUCUACUUGAGUACCGUUGAUGAUUCGCCCAUUCUCAAACAUCUGACGUUCAGGUCUAACUAAAUGCCCAUCAGAAGCGAAAACCAGUUCUUCAAUUGCACCCUGAUUUUGAUUGGUGAUGAACUGUGAUUCAUUUGAUGACAUUGACAAAGAAUUUUGUGGUUCUGCAGCAAUGGUUCCCAAUGGAUUGAGUUCCCAGAACUGAUCAACAGUCUGCUCCUCUACAGUAAACUUAGCAGGACCAAGCACUCUAUUCUCCUGGAUUAUAUCUCGGACAAUUUCUCGUACUGUGUAGAAAGAUCCACCAACUUCUUUGUGGGUCAGAUUAAGUGAUGGGAAACUCCCAUUGUUUAGUUUCUGGUACCUGUAAGCAAGACCAUUAGACAGGCUGCACAUUCUUUUCAGAAAUCAGAAAUUCAAAAAUAUUAAGAUGGAUGUGGAAGUCAGUGGCAAGAAAAUACACAAUAACACUACAAUAUACCGAUCAAAAUACUCCCAUCAACUUCUAACAGGAACAGUUCUCCUACUGCAUAUACCAAUCAAAAGUUGGUCCUACUAAACACAGGUGCUACACAACCAUAUGUUUUAUUAGUUUCCUUACUAUUAUUUUCUUCGGUUAAAUGGACUGUAAAGAACACAAACAUAAAAUUUUCUUAAAAGAGUGCUUCGCCCAUGAGCGGUAGGUCUCGGGUUCGAGACUUGGGAGCAGCCUCUCCAUAAAUGGGGGUAAGGCUAGCCGACAUUCACCUCUCCCAGACCCUGCGUAAAGCGGGAGCCUUGUGCACUGGGUACGACCUUUUUAGUGCUUCAACAAAAUAAAUUUUCUAAAUCAUUCUGGUGAACAAAUAUAUAUAUAUAUAUAUAUAUAUAUAUAUAUAUAUAUAUAUAUCAAAGCAUCAUACGUCAAUCAAUUUGGCAGGCACUAAAUCGCAAGAAAGCAUUAAAUUUCAAAAGUUGGUCAAAAUCUCAAAGUGAAUAUAAUGGCUAUAUAUAUUGUAUAUCCACUUCUGUAUUCACAAUAGUUACAUAAACUCAACAGAUAAAUGACUAAAAUCAUAGCUUAAAUAAGAUUUGACAAGCUUAUCCGGAAGCUAGAAACAGGGAUCCAGAAACUGUCCAUACCUUAAAACUUAAAAGCAUACAGAUGUACUAGGAUCCUACUCAACUACAAUAUCAAGAGUACAAGGAAACAAUCAUGAUGGACGAGAAGUAAUGCUGGAUCAACAAAUUUCAAAAUAAGAUAUUUCAUACAAGCAUAUAGAAUUCAUUUAUAUAAAAUUAUCCUGAGUAAAGGGUAGGAGAAGAUUAGUGCCCGUAAUCCUAGUAGAUUUCAUCAGAACUAUAUUGGUUACAGGAUUAGUGACUUCUCUUUUCUUUUUCACAUAAGUUACGAUGGUAGAAAAUUUGAAACAAAGAAACUAUGAUGUGAUUACUUCUUUAUAAAGGAUUCAACCAUUGCCUUCCUCUCUUCCUUUGAACGCCGAAUUCUGGACCUCCUUCCUUCAGAUUCAUUGUUUUUAGCAAGGGCAAAUGUCUGCCCAACCCAACUACCCUUUACAGAAUGCAUUACACUGAAAUUCAAACCUGCACAUGUGCAAUCUUUGUGAGAUAAAGAAAAGUUGCAUGUAAAAAAUCCUCAUGAGAAAACAGACACAAACAAUCUAAGACUUGACGUUGAAAAAAUUGAUAUGCAAAAAUCAUAUUUAUCUUUUUGGAUAUUUGGAUGAUGUCUAAGUAAUUAGUAUUAGCGAGUAAUAACUGAAACAAAAGAAAAUGUGAAAAGAAAAGAAACAAUGUGAUAUAAAACAAAACAGAUCAAGUAAUAAGGAAAGGCCAGUGAAGCCAAUUCUGAACAUUAACACAGAAACCGUCAUGAGUCACAUUAGUGAAGAAUGGAAGCUCAACUGAGUCAUGAGAUGAAAGAAAAAAAUACAUAAAAAUUUAUACCACCUUUAUCUUAUUUGAUACAGCUUAUAGGGAGAAAAAGAGAAAAAGCGAUGGCAAAAUUUCAUUUGCACAUGAACCAAAAAAAAAAAAGUGAGCACAAUGACACCAGAAACUGACCCAACACUCCUGGGAAUCAUGAUUCGUUUGCAAUUUUCAAAUGGUAUGAAAAUAUUGGUAUUCAAAACAAGAUCUUAACUACAGAAGUGUAAGUUCAUCUCCUCAAGGGUUAUAAACUCUGUUUAUCAUAAUUUUGAAUUAUCUUUCUGGGUUUCAAAAAUUGAAUAUUUACAAAUUUCUGUCAUUUCAUCUGAAAUUCAGCAAAAUAGACAGUCACCAAAGCGAAAAUUAAAAAGAAUCCAAACGAAUCUUUUCUUCGAUCAACCGAAAGAUUAUACGGUCAGCUUUGAGUAACUAAGUGAAGAAAUUGAGUGGAAAAACAUACACUAUAACGGGUGUUGUGGGUGUUUGUAUAUAUGUGUACAAAAGAGUCACGAUUUGAGGAGGAAAAAUCAACAGACAGUGACAGAAACAAAAUCCAAGAGCAACCCACAUGGGAAAACUUCUAUAUCAACAAAACCCAACAAAUCAAAACAUGGAUUUUACGCAACUCAAGAAUUUGCGGCUGCCAUGCCACUAAUUAUGCAUAAAUUCCAACAAAUAGAUUACAAAAAAGAAAAAAAAUCUGGAAAUUACAGUCACAGUAAAGCAUAAAUAAUGGGGAGAAUGAAGAGCAGAGAGAGAGAAAGAGAAUCACCUGAAGCGAUGGGGAAGGAUUAGGUUUUGGGGUUUUUCCAAAACCCUACUACUACUUACAGAGUGAGAGAUGACAGAGAGCGAGAGAGAUAAAAGAAGAAGCCAAAAGUCAAAAUAUAUACACACACAUAUAUAUUUCUUAUGUAAUCUUAUAUAUAAAGCCAAUGAAAAAGGUAAAUAGUGAUUUUAGUGUCACAAAACUACAAUAAAAAUAUUUAGACAAAAAUAUUCUCAAAACAAAAAAACUUCAAAGACAUCCCAAAAUAAUGCAUCAAAUAUUUCUCAAAAAAUAAUAAUAAUAAUAAUGCAUCAAAUAAAGUAGGGGCAUUUUCAUCAUUUUAACAAUAUUUUUUUAAUAAUUAAUUUUUUUUGUGGUUUGUUUGUUUGUUUUUUUUUUUUAAUAAGUACCGCACAAUAGGUUAGCAAUAAUGUGAUUCAACUUCUCUAUUUUUAAGCAUGUUCAAAACAUUUUAAGAGGCGUGUAAAGCCAGUUAUAAAAAAAGGUAUUUCGCACGCUGAUAACAAUGUGAUUAAAUUACAUUAAAUUAGUUGUCAAAUGAUUUUUUUUUAAACAAACGAUAUUAUCUACACUAAGGGGAAUGUGGUAGGCUUAGCCUCACAAUUGUUUAUUAAAUAUUAUUUUCUCUAUUUUUAAACACGUUCAAAACAUCUUAAGAGGCGUGUAAUGCCAAUUAUAAAAAAAAAAUUCACACGCGGAUAAUAAUGUGAUUAAAUUAGUUGUCAAAUGAUCGUUUUAGCCCUCUGGCCCUCCAAGAAAUUAAUAUUUUAAUGAAUAGUGCAAGGCCAUAUUUCUUACCAUCUCCAAUCGAGGGCCAAAGGUCAUAAGGUCAAACAUAGCCCUGUCACAAAAAAAAUCAUCUCCAACCAAGGGCCAAACAUAAUUUAUUUUUUAAAUUUAAAAACUAUAACAACUUAAAUUUAAAAAUUACAGCUUAAAUUUAAAAACUACAAAUAAAAAUUUUUUAAUAUUUUUUUUUAAUUUGGCCGAAAAGAAAAAUUCAAAUCCAACGAUAACUGACGUCAGCUAGCCGUUGGAUUUGAAUUUUAUUGGGCUAUAAAUAGGGUGGAUAUUGGGCUAUAAUUCACACACCUUUGAAUUCAAUCUCUUUCAAUUCAAGUUUGCAAUGAAUUCCAACUUUGGAUCCUCUUCGGAUUUCAACUAGGGGUCCUCAUCCAAUUCCAAAUUGGAAGAAAAAUAGGCGCAGAUGAGACGAGAAGAUGAGGAGUUUGAUGAAGAAGAUGAAGCAUGGCGCAACACACAAUAUGUGGCAGAUAUGGCUGUGUCCGUGGUGUGUCAGCCAACUAAGGAACAACCUCAAUGGGGUGGCUUUGUUGCUAGUCACUUUUACAAACCACGAAACAGAGCGAUGGCGCAUGCCAAUCUGAUGAACAACUACUUCAACCCUAACUUGGUUUACACAGAAGAGGAUUUCAAACGUCGUUUCCGGAUGAGGCGUCAUGUGUUCAAGCGUUUACUUCAUGAUGUCCAGCAAAUCAAUCCAUACUUUCAACAGAAGCUGGACAAAGCAGGCCACCCUGGUUUCUCACCUCAUCAAAAGGUUACUAUUGCACUUUGAAUGAUGGCCUAUGCCUCCUAGUUGAUGCGAUGGAUGAUCUAUACGGUAUGUCUGAGUUUAAUUACAUGCCUUGAUACUCUUGCUGAAUUCUGUGACACAAUUGUUCAUUUUUACAAAGAGAAGUACCUCCGUGAGCCAAAUCAAGAAGAUCUGGAUUAGCUCAUUCGCAAAGCUGAAGAUCGUGGCUUUCCAGGCAUGAUAGGGUCAUUAGACUGCAUGCAUUGGAAUUGGAAGAACUGUCCCACCGGAUGGCAAUGUGGCUUUAGCGAAAGGUCGAGAAAGCCAACUAUUAUGUUAGAUGCGGUUGCCUUAUCUGACACAUGGAUCUGGCAUGCUUUAUUUGGAGUCCUUGGAUCCCAAAAUGACAUUACAGUUCUUGGGCGUUCACAUCUCUUCAAUAACCUGACGGAAGGUAAAUCAUCUCAACUUGACUACUACAUCAACGGUCGUCAAUAUAAUAUGAGGUAUUACUUGGCAGAUAUCAUCUACCCAAAGUGGGCGACACUUGUCCAAGCAAUUCCAAACCCUGCAAAUGAAGCCAAAAAGUGUUUUACCUUACACCAAGAGGCAUACCGGAAAGAUGUUGAGAGAGCUCUCGAUAUUCUACAAGCACGGUGGAAAAUUAUCAAGGAACCGACAAAAGGGUGGAGUCAAGAAAAUUUGGACUCUAUCAUUGCAUCAUAUUACACAACAUGAUUGUGUAGGAUGAGCAAGAUGGGUAUAUUGAUGGAUAGUCGAUUACAACCAAGAGGAUCCAAAUAGUCAUGAAGGGCUCGUGCAAAAAUAAAUGAUGGGCCUAAUUUGCCUUUCAAUCCAAGAACUGACAAUAUCUUUUUAAAUGAGUACAUGAGGCGUUAUAGGAUGAUACGCUCAUGUGCCACAAACAAGUACCCACAACUAGAUCUUGUUGCACAUUUUUGGGCCAAAAGAAGAUUGGAGUAGGCGUUCAAGUUUUAUGUUGUUGAAUGUUUUUAAAAUUGUUGUUUAAGUUUCAUGUUGUUAAAUGUUUUUUUUUAUGUUGUAUAAUUUUUAUGUUGUUUAAUGUUAUUUAAUGUUGUUUAAUAUUGUUUAAUGUUGUUUGAUGUUACUUAAUGUUAUUUAAUGUUGUUUAAUAUAGGAAGCUAUAGGAAAAAAAAACAUAGAAUUUAAAAAAAAAAUUUGUAAAAAAUAUUUCAAAAAUUUUUAAAAAAAAUUCAAAAAUAACGACUAACUGACGUUAGCUAGUUACCUUUGCAUUCAAAUUAUAGCCCAGCCGGUUGGCCCUUUGGCCCUUUUUGGUCUAGUGGGGCCCACGAGCCCUUUGGCCGGUUGGAGAUGGCCUCAGGCUUUGAGAGGCCGGGCGGCGCAGGUGUGUAAUUAUUUAAGUUGGAACUUGGAAGGGGUGGUAAUUGGAAAAUUCAUAAAUACUCAAUCCGGGUCACAUCAGACUGUCUUUCUAUAAAGGGCAAUUGGAACCUAUGAUUGUAAAUUUGAUUUAGGUUAAUUGAGACGCAACAAAACGUAAAAGGUAAAGUGAAAUUUUGUGUAAAAUACAAUGAGUAUACUUAAAAUUAAGCGUUAGAAGAACAUAAAAGUAUAUUAAUGGAGUGCCUACAAAACCUUAGUUGCAGUUUAUCAACCCCCAUUGGGAUGAGAGAUCUCCUUUCAACCGAUGGAUGAAUACAUGAAAAAUGACGAUCAUCUAUAUCAUCAAUAAUGUCACUGAGACAAUAUAUUGAUUGUAAAAGAGUUUCUCUAGAACCAAAGGACUUUUCAAUGCAAACAUGAUACGAUUAUUACACUUGUAACCAAGAUAACAUGCAUAUACAUAGCACUCUCCUAAUUGAACAAUAAAAUCGAUGGUUGAUUCAAUGUCUAAAAAUUCAAAACAAGAAACUGCCAACAACUGCUUCAUUCUGAUCAAAACUUCCUAUCAACAUUACCAAAAGAAUACAUGAUGUUGUCAACUGUGAAAAAGAAUUUCAACGAAUGUCGUGUGUACUGCUAAGAAACUUAAUAUCCUUGUGCGACUUGAAAUGCGAAGGUUAACGCCUCACAUACUAAGUGACCUGCGAUCGCUGAAAAAGCUACCAUCUUCCAUCCACCUUGAGUAUCUAUAUUCCGUCACAGGAAAAAUACCUACAAAAUUCAUCUUUACAGACCACGCUGUCGAUGUUAGAAAGAACAAAGCUCGUCCUCAAUCUUUGAGAGUUUUUUUUCCCACUCCACAGUUGAGAAAUAGCUGUAUCGCAAUUCAAGUGUGACGAAAACUAGACAAUUUCAACUAAAACUAUAACCUUUAUAUCCUCCAAGUGUCUUUUGUUUGUAUCCAUGCCUCAUUCUUUCGAGUAAUUUUUCUUUUAUUUUCCUUUUCUUGUCCAUCUUUAGCCUAUAUCUCUCUUCCAUCUCCUCUUCAUAAAUUCAUUCCCAAUGCACUUCCCCGGUGAGUGGCCACAGCCACAUCUCCCUUGGAUGAUCACCGUCAUCUGCAGCUUCUGCUAAAUCCUCAUCCAUACUCUUUAGCAAUGUACUAUCAAAAUACUUGGCCCACAUAAAUCCUUUCCGUAGCUCAACUGGGUGCUGCUCUUCCAGUGAACCAGACACUGGAUCUAUUAAAACCAUCUUUCGUCCACUAUGAUAAGCCCAGACAUUAACAAAGACUUCUAAUACCCGAUAGUAACAAUGCUUUCUCUGUUGACAUUGUUAAAAAUGUAAGUGAUGAAUGUUAAACUCCAAAUGAGACCAGAAAACGUGAUCCAAAUAACGUACCUCAAGUUCUGAGGAACCCAACAGACACAUAUUUAUAUUGCCAGAAUUGGUGUGCAAUGCAUCCAAAGAAUCAACAAAUAUCAUGUAGCUCAAAUACAAAAUUUCAGUUAUAAUAACCAUCCACAAGUUCAUUUUCUAUCAGAAGCUGUAACAGAAUAAAACAGAAAUCGUAGUGAUUAGAUUACCUAGAAAACAUGAUAAACUCAAGGAAUGAGCGAGUUGGCAUCACCCAACUAUGCAAGGCAGAUCAGUGACCACCAUCUUAUGGCACGGGAAGGAGAGCUUCUGUAUUAGAUGGCAAGGUAUACAUCCAGUGAAAUGCAUCUUCAAAAACAUUUCUGCAUUCGAGUGGACAAAAAUUAUACUUUUAUCUUGAUGUAUUAAUGAACUAAUAACUAUAAGACAAACACAGACCCAAUGGCAUUUGUAUUACGGAUAUAAGAAACCUUAAGUGCCUUAUAAAUCUGUGUGAAGAUCUAUAUGAAUCCACGUUUUGCGGAUGUAGCCAUGUAAGUGUGUGGUUGUGUUCAGUAUACCAAAAUUUUAUUGCAUAUAGUAACGCAACUGGAAUCGUUCUUCUGUGGAUUUGGUUCUAAGUGUACCAUUGGCAUUGGAUGACAACAAGGAACCUCAUGUUCUCAUAAUACCAGCCAUAACAAUAUCCAUUGUUUAAAAGGACAAAUUCUUCUAUUGGACAGCCCUAUGCACCCACUGUCCCACCCAUUGUGAGAGACUGGCUGCAUACGACUGCCUCACCAAAAAAAUCCUCUUUAUGUGGAGCAUGGCAUCACAUAUUAGAUUUCCAAACCUUUGACAACAAUCACAGCUAUAACUUAAUAACCAAAUUUUCAACUAAUAUUUCGUACAAGUAUCAACAAUGUCCCUCAUUCAAGAUGUCACAUACGGACCAAAAUGUGAGUGCAUCUUCAUUUCCUGUCACCCCACCAUUAAUGUUCAAGCAUCCCCAAAAGUAUAUUACUUUACCUUUUGUGUUGUCUUGUAUUGCUUCUUCCAAAACUCCUUCAGCUUUCUUGGACAAAGUCACCUGCUUGAAAAACAAUGAUGAAUAUGAUGGCAAACUAAAGAACAGUACAUGCUUGCAUGCAUUUAUGAAGUGUUUGAUUGAUUGAACUAGGACUGGAUUGGGUUAUUUAACACCAAUCUCAGUCUAGACCAAACAUGGGGUUAAUUAACAACUGCAUAAGCGGGACCUCUCUGCGGGGCUUAUUUUGGGCCAUUUAAAAUGAAGGCCUAAAUAUAACCAACCAAACCCGAGCCAAACCAAUCCAAGCCAAUCCAAUCCAAGCCAAUCCCUACAAUUAGUCCAAGCCAAGCCAAGCCAAUGCUAUGUAUCAAAACGUGCUCUAAAGACUAUAUUUAUAUACACACACGUGUACGAAAAUACAUACAUCAAUCAUUAUAUACAAGUUUAAAUACUUGUAGCAUAUAUGUUUCCAUGUAACUAUACUUUUGUUCUAUUUUCUAUGACACCAAAACCAUUCCAAGGAAUCCAGAGUUUUGUGUAUCUAUAUAGGUUAUGUAUGUCUAUAGGCAAUUACAAACGUCAUCCUUACAAAAUAUUAGACAAGUUACGAAGCUAUUUAUAAUCCUGAUUAUUCUUUGUUUCUUCAGAAUCUUGUGUUCAUCUGUUUGCUUGGAUAACAAGUCUGGCAAUUAGAUGACUAAAUAGUUUUACACUUUUGUUGAUUUUUUUACAGUUUAGACCACUGGCCACAUUGCAUUGUGGAACUUAAUGACAUUAGACAAAUGCUUCUGAAUAAUUUCCAACCAAAAAUAAGAAAUACCUUCCUACCAGUUGCACGCCAAGUUUGAAACCCAAUCCAAGGUCGCUGAUGAACUCUGUCAACCUUGUUUGCAAUAGCAAACAUUCCACCAAUCUCACCAAGAAUGUUGCGAUAGUAAGUUUCAUUCAACGGGAAACCGGUCAACAGAAUCGACAUCAUUUGAUGUUAACCUCCGUGCUCCUUUUGACUAUCACAUACAUUGUAGGAUAAGUUAAAAAACAUAAGAAAGAACUGGAGAUUUUGAAAAGAAAAAAAAAACAAAAAACAAAAUUUCUAGCUUUUAAUGAAAUGAAAGCAUACAGUAAAGGCAAGAAACUCACGAGGCUCAAUCCACGGUACAGAGUGCCGUGGUGCAAGAAUGGCCAGGUUCUAAACCCACUGUAUAUCUCAUAAAUGCAUAUUGUCUAGCCUAUCCUCUCAAAUUCACCCUCAUCCCUAUCAUUUGCCUCAAAUCUAAGCUUUUCAGCUUUUCGGGCCUUACGAUAUAUGCAUCCCAAAAACCAGGAUCUUUCUCCAUUCUUUCUGAUAGCUACAAGCAAGAAGAAUGUCCUGUUUCAGCUGUCUUUUGAGAACUACCUCACUAAGAUAAAAAGGGGGGAAAGAAGAGGCAGGACUGAACUAGAGACACACAAGUUCUGUAAUUUCAGGAAAUGACAUACCUCCUCCAUUUCUAACGUCUCAUAUACUUCAGAGCUUUCAAAUUCCUUCAAGAUAUCCCAAUCUAAUUGAGUUGGAAUAUCUAAUGAUGAAUCCCAAGUUAUAUUAUCAGAGAUUUUUGGUGAGUAACCAAAACCCAACAAGUCUUCUUCUAGGGCAUUAACGAUACAAGUGUUAUUCCAGGAUGACUGCUCGUCAAUGUUCAGAAUAUUUCCUCUUCUAUAAUCUAUUUCAUUCCCAAACAAAUUUCAUUCCCAUGUACCCUGUUGAAGCUGAGAGAUUGGCCCCUAGCAGCAGAGCAUCUGAUGGAAAAUUUAACACAUUCUCCAUAAGCCUUGCAUAACCAGUGAUACAUUCUGAUGCCAACAAGUUCAUAACAAGCAGUCUUCCAGAAGAAGCAACCGUUCAAGCAAAUUUUGAAAGUUUCUCAUUUGAAAUCAUAAGCGAGAAGCGUUCAUUAAAGCAUCAGGAUUAUGCUUUCGGAACAAUAUCAUGUGAACUCCAUCAACCACCUGUAAUAUCACAAAUGUAAAAGACAAUAAAAGACAACUUGACAUGAUAAGAAAAUUACUAAAAACAAAGAAUUUGAAUGAACUCACAUAUUCCUUCAAGAUACAAAAUCAGGCACAAUAACUGGGAUCCCAAAGGUCAUGGCACGAAUAAGCAAUGGCGGAAAAACAUCUUGUGUAGAACCGUAAAGAACAAUGUCAGCCAUUAAUAACACACUGUUGACAUCACCAUUCAAGCCAUAAUGUCGCACAGAUCCUUGAAGAAGUCCCAGAUGUGAAGCAGCUUCCUAAACAACAGAUCAAUGGAUCAAAAUGGAUCAUACAUAGUCUUAUGAAUAAAUGCCAGUGAAUGAGUAAAACAAGUCAAAAGAAUAACCAGAUAUCACAACGAAAUACAAAAAUGACGUCAGUUUCAGUCAUUGUUGUCAUUCUGUCAACAAUCAGAUUCAUAUCACAAUUUUUUUUUUCAGUUGCCACUGGCCACAAAAAUCACUUUUUGGAAAAAUUAAGGCAUUUGAAUACAUUUAGAUAAGAUGCAAGAAGCUCAAAUAUGUCAUAAGUACUGGGACAACAUCAUAAUUGAUUAAGGAUAAUAAACUAGAAAGCAUUAGCAUAUCCAUCAGAGGAAUUACCACAUAAGAAAACAAAUUUGAACAACCUUCCUGCAUCAUCCCUCCUUGAAUAUUUUAUUAGCAGUGGUCCUAUAGAAUGCAUCGCCACAUCAUAGUCCCAUGAAAGCUCAUCGUAGAAAAAAGAACUUCCAACAACUACAACCAGCAUAUCACCUUCACUAAACUCAUUGCUCUUCAUCAACUGAUUCUUGGAGUAGGUUUUUCUGUAACUUUCCAUAACCCAAACUUCUAUUGGUGAUCCAGGAAUGACAAAGAAGUUUCCAGUGUCAAGUACACUAUACAACAUCUGACACAUGAUGGAAAGAAAAAAUAAGACAAUUUAAGAAACCACAUAAUGAUUAUUUUGCAAGAUAACUAGAAAUACGGUGUAACCAAAUAUUUCAAGAACAAAAGAAGGCAAGAUCUAUCGGCAUACUAAAAUCUGGAAACACGAUAAUGUUAACUCUGCUAAAAGCACUUUUCCAAUGAGAAAUAAGAUGUUUCAGGUGUAUUUUCUUGAAUUAUCCAUAUCAGUGGUACUGAACAAAAAGGCUCAUGCAUAAGGCUGCAUGAAUCUAAAUCUCACUAAUCAUAGCAAGUCCAACUGAAUCUAAAUCUCACUAAUCUAAAUCUCACUAAGUAAAAGUACUAGUGAGUACGCUUUUACCUUUCAUAUGCUUAACUAGGGUAAGCUGCUGUUAUAAAAGGAAAAAGAAUGAGAAAAGAGACGGCGGAAAAUUCUAUACGAGAAAAUUUAUAUUGUCUCCGAAAAAAAAAAACUAAAAGAUAGACAAAAAGUGAAUAUUAGUUAGUGGAGUAAACCAUAGCUUAAGUUUAUAAAAAUAAAUAAACAAUAGGUGACUUAAUUUUACUGCCCAAGGUGUACAAGGUGGCCCAGCCACAAAGUAAAAAAUCAAAACAGAUGAACGCAAAGGCCUAUGCAGUUAACAAAACACGCACAUGUUGAUGAACGAACCCAGUUGGCUGCAACAGCCACCAUGAAAGCAGGCCAACUACCUUCAAAGUCACCAAAACCACCACCAGAAUCACAAAUAAGUUGAAAAUUUAAACCACGUAGAGAAAAGCAUAUCAUCAAGCCACCACAACCAACAACAUACAUUCCUCUCAAGUCCCUAACCUUUAUAAUAAACAGUACUUCAAAUCUGAUCCAAGAUUCGCCUCCGAAGACUACCAGAACGAAGCUUUGAUUCUGAAAAUUCCACCACCAACAAAACGAUUGUGGUGGAAGGAGGCAGUACAAUGACCCAAAUUGAGAUUGUUAAGGCAUGAUCCUCUUCGACCUUUGAAACAAUAUGGACCUGAGAAUAGACAACUAGGGCAAGAGGCCAAUAAAUCAGCCCAAUAAAACUAAAGGAAGCAAUUUCGAGGGCUAUAAGUGAUCGCUUAAUGGUCUAGCUCUAGGUCGAAAAUCUUAUCAUAAAGUACUUUCCGACCAUUUGACCCAAGUCGAUAAACUAAAUGCGGUGUAUUCAAUUGAGACCUAGAAAUAGGCCUACUUGGAACUCUAAGUAAUGUGUUGACGAUUUGCAAGAGCAGAAGCCUAUGAAGUGAUAAAGGUUGUUAGACCAAGCUCGGGUAUAGGUUUCCUUAAACCCCAAGCCCGAGCAAGAGGCUCAAUACGUAUUGGCCCAGGAAAACUGUUACACCCACCCCUAAUUUAAAUUGUAUUUUCACUAAGUUUGAGAUUAUCUUGCUUUUAAAAUUGUUUUGGUCUUAAAUGGUGUGCCCAAGGGGCCCACCCUUGAAAUUUUGUCCCCGGUCCCCUCUCCUUAGAUGCCACGUGGCAUUCUUCUCACUCUCUCUGCUCUCAUUCUCCCCGAGUUCCCUCUCAGUUUCAUUUCUAUCUCUCUCCCUCUCGGUGCUAUUCUCUUCGACAAGAGCACACACACACACACCCAUACAUAUAUACACACAACCAUCACGAGGACUUCACCAUCAUCUUCAUCCUCUAAGCUUCAUCUUUUUCUCCCUCACUUUCUCUCUUUCUUCUUCUCCUUCACUAUGCCACACCUAUAACCCAUAUCCUAAAAUCAUCAUCAAAUCACAAUUUCGAAAUCACCAUCAUCUUUAUCUCGUCACUACAAACUCAACCAUAGUCUUGUCAUCUUAGAAGUCGAACCAUGAAGCCCCGUACACGAGCUCCGACGCAGACCGCUGCUUUCGAGGUAAUUUCAGGCUAAAACAUGGCAAGUUGGCUGGUGUCAAGGUAUCCAUCUCUUCAUCUCACUGAGUACUACAACUUUCCUUUUUGUUUCACCAAAUUUCGUUGAGUAUUGAAGAAGUUAUACUCAUUUGAAUCUAACCCAGUUUCUGGCGACCUCCGAGGGUUUCGAGGCAUUUUCCGGUCAAACCAUAGUGAGUUAAAUGUGGUGUGAGGUACCAUUAUUUUCGUCUCUUCGAGAACUAUGAUUUUUGUUUUUAAAUCACUCGAUUUCAUUGGGUAUUGACAAAGUUAUGGCCGUUUAAAGUUGGUGUAGCUUUCCGGCCAAAAUCCGGCCUUCUCCUUCCUUUGAAUCCAGCAACCUAGAAAUCCCAAGGCCUUUGGGCCUUUCCUGACAAGCCCAACCCAAAACCCAUUUCAGUUUUUAUUAUUUAUUUUAUUUAUUGUUUUAAUGUAAAAGGCCCUUGGGCCAUUUUAAAUCAGGGCCUUCGGCCCGUCCUUUUUAAAACCUCAACCCAUUUAUUUUAAAGCUUAACCCAUUUUCCCUUAAACCCAUUUCUUUUUAAAAACCCAAAGGGCCUUAGGCCUGUGCAUCCUAAGCCAACCCUUUAAACCCCAUUACCCUUAACCCUAACCUGUUGAAACCCUUUAUAGGGAAUAUUCCGUCAGGGAAUAUUCUAGGAAUAUUCUAUUGACAUUUAUGUGCUUAGGAGCAAUAUUUGUGACGUUCGUUUUCCCAAAUUCAAUUGUUAUAAUAGAGUUUUAUUAAUUGGACCAUUUAUGUGCUUAGGAGCAAUAUUUGUGACGUUUCCGUGGUUGCUAGUUUGCGUGGCUCUUCGGCGGCUAAGUAUCUGUGAAUGGACCCCUCCUAAAAAUGCAUGUUUUGAUAGUAGAAAUGCAUACAUGAAAAGCAUGAUUUAAUGAUUAUGUUCUAUGAAACGCUUUGAGAUAACAUGCUUACUGAGGCUAGUUUGAAUUAUUACUAUUUUUCCUAUAACCCGUGUUCUUAUAGAAUAUCCGGGAUGACGAUAUGAUAUUUAGAACAUGUUUCGAACACCUCUUUAUAGUAUAAAUGAUAGAUGACUUUAUACUAUGAAGUUGCUUUUCAAAAUAUAUAUGUUCAAUGGUUUUGUACUUACCUAGUGGUCCUUUCCGCUACAGGACAUAUGGAUAGAUUCCGGUCCGUCCCAGACAACGGUUUGGUGUUGGCAUAGGGCCUGAAGUGUGUUUCCUCUGGCUAUUUAGCACAGGGACGGGGAACCGGCAUGGGGCCUGAAGUGUAUUUUCCUCUGACUGUCUGCUCAGGGACGGGGAGCCGGCAUGGGGCCUAGGGGUUAUUGGACAUUCAAUAGUGAUUAUUAUAUAUACAAGUUAUGAUUUGAGACAUUGCACGGCAUGCUAGGUUUUGGAAAACCUAUGUUUAUCAUGAUAUAUAUGUGUUUUCAUAAAACCUAGGGGUUAGUAUGUGGAUAACUGUUUUAUUAUAUCUAUAUCAACUUGGUCCACUCAUGUUUGUUUUGCGCCCCCUUCAGGACUUAGAAUCGAGGCAAACAAUCCUGACGUCCAGGCACUUCCGCAUCGACAUCUUCGAAUCAUCUCGGUGUAGGAUCCAUUACUUUAUUCAUUCAAUUUUUAUAUUAUUUAUUUUAGUGUUCUAGUUAGUUGAAUGCUUUGAACACGUUCCUUAAAUGCACAUUCUUUAUUCUUUUAUAUUUAUAAGUAUUAGUUAUCCCUUGUUUUCAGCAUUUGCACUCAAUAAAUGGCUUUCGUCACCCUCAAGUGUCGGUCAGCGCGUGUUUAUCCUGGUAUUUAGGGAAUAUCGGGAUCGAGUCGUGUCAAAAACAUCAAUCAACUCUAAACAAAUGUCACUUCAUCUCCACAUGUCGAACGAAUAACGAAGCGUUAAUAGAGAUGAUGAUCUCGAUUCUGCACACCUUUCCGUACAUAAGUGAAAAGUUGAUUUUGAAAUGGACGUCAUUUACAUGAACCAAAUUUGAUAUCCAAAAUGAAGGAGAGAUUAUUGAGUGUUGUAGGAUAAGUUGUGGGCAAGAACGAAAGAGGGAAAGGGAAGGAGAUGAGAGGGUGAGUAAAAAAUUAGGGCUCUGAUUUUGGGUAAACUAUAGAAAAUUAGAAGAACAAAAAGAAAAGCAAGUAGAAAAGAAGACAAUAUUUGCAAUAUAUUGAAAAACAAGUUGAAAUCGCCACUGGUUCGAUUGCCACUAGUUAGACCUACCAAUCGGGUUGGAAUCGAGUCUAAUCUAGAGACUAGCAUCUGGGUCGUUGGACCAGUUAUGGGUUCGGUUAGCUAGAGUAGGUUUGGCGCAUGGGCGUAGAUUUAAGUUGGUCAUCUAGGACUACAAGUUAACCUGAGAAGAAAGAUCGUUGGACCAGAGGCUGUGAGAAGAGAAAGACAACAAUCGUAGUCGAUCAAGCAUGUAAUGCUGCUGAAAGAAUGAAGCUUCUUCUCUCAUUCAGAGACUCGUAAGGAGUUUGAGCACAUAAAUUCAGGUAAGUUUAUAAAUGUUUGUGUUUUGGUUGUACUAUCCACUUUGAACACAUAAUUCUUCCUCGUUGCAAUUAUAGGCUUUGUAGCUAAUUGUUUUUGCAACUCAUUCUUAGUCGAGUACCCAACCAGUCACAUUUAUUUUUUUCUAGUAGUAAAUAACGGAUUACGAGACUUUCUUAAAACUAAAAACUAGAGGUUUAGGGUUCGAAACUCGAUGUUGGUUUGAAAGCCAGACUUAUGGCCAAGAGAGGCUGAAAUACCUCUGUGAGUUUUUCCAUCCCCCAAAAAGGGUGGAUCGUGACUUACUACCAGUUGUCAUUUUUUUUUUAAAAGAAGGAAGCCAUAUUUUAAGGUAAUUUAAAGAUUGUGCUUAAAGGGUAUAUUAAUAUUUUUAUAUCAAAUUUUGGUUAUAAUUAUCAUAAAAUUAAAAUAGUGGCUUUAAUUGGAUCCAAAACUGAUUACUUUUUUAAAUUUCCCGAGUUGUGGAGGGUAAUUAGGGUGUUUUAGAACUUUUGUAUAAAUUUUUGGUUAAAUUUGUAAGAAUAGCAAAAGGUUGUUGUAAAUAGUGGGAUUGUAUGCCCAUAUGCGAAUAGUAAUGAAUAAGGCAUAAUUUGUUGUGCUAUGUCACGGGAAGUUGUUUUCAUUCAUUGUAAACCUUCUAUAAAUAGUUCACCACAUAGGUGAUCGAGACACUACAAGAGAAAAACAACUAAUAAUAAUAUUCCUCACUUCCUCUGCAAUCAUUUUGUGUUGGUAUAAUAUUUUGCAAUUGCUUCGCUCCUGUCCCUAGCAAAUGUUAUCUCUCUAACUUUUGCUUAUUUAUAACACGUUAUCAGCAAGACUCUCUAACAAUUUCUCAUUUCCCUUCACCGAAAGAAAAAAAAAAGUUUCCUCUAAGGAUUUUACUGUUCUUCUUCUUCCUCUGCCUCAACUGCUGGAUAUACCCUAGCAAAGAACUGUUUACACCAUGCCUGCUUUUAGUUCUUAACAUAACAAUUACUUAUAUCUUUGAUUUCUUGUUUGGUGUAGCUCUUGACUACUAACCCAGUGUUUAUUUAUGCAAUCCAAGAUGGUGCGGUAUCAUCGCCUAUCUUGAAUUGCAUGUCUAAUUUUACUGCAAAUUUUAGGUGGAGCAGUAUAAUUGCUCACCCUACCCUGCUUAUUUAAAUUUGCCUGCUAUUUAAUUUUAUUACAAUUUUUGGUGGUGUGAAAUAAUCACCCACCCUACUCUGUAUAUUUAAUUUUUCUGAUGCUUGAGUGCUGCGGAAUAAUCGCUCAUCCUAUGUUAUUUCAAUGAGAAUGGUGCGGUACAAUUACCUUUCUCAUUUAUCAUGUAAAUCUCGAGCCUGAAGUUUCGAGAGCUUAUCAUUUUAGCCUGAAGAUCAAAAUGAAAAAUUUGUAAGGACCAGAAGUUCUAACAAUAUAUUCCUUCAGAAUACAUAUUAUUGCAAGUUCUUACACGCCUCAUUUUUCUUUCAGAAAUGAAAAUGGCGAACUUGGCACAACUUGAUUUUUUUGCCCUGGAUAUUACUGGAAAGAACUACCUUACCUGGGUAAUGGAUACCAAAAUUCAUCUGGAGGCAGGAAAUCUUAGGGAAACCAUUAAUGAGGAUAACAGUGCAUCCUCUCAAGAUUGGGUGAAGGCCAUGAUCUUUAUUCAUCGCCACCUGGAUGAGGGAUUGAAGAGCGAGUACCUCACAAUUGAAGAUCCAUUAACCCUCUGGAAGGCACUAAAAAAUAGAUAUAAUCACUAGAAAAUAGCGAUUCUUCCAAGAGCUCGUUAUGAGUGGGCUCACCUAAGAAUCCAAGAUUUCAAGACGGUGGCUAAAUACAAUUCUGCAAUGUUCAGAAUUAGUUCCCAGUUGAAGCUAUGUGGAGAAACAAUAACUGAGGAAGAUAUGCUGGAAAAGACUUUCAGCACAUUUCAUGCAUCCAACGUGCUCCUGCAGCAGCAGUAUAGAGAAAGAGGCUUUACUGAGUACAACCAGCUGAUAUCUGUACUUCUUGUAGCCGAGCAAAACAAUGAGCUUCUGAUGAAGAAUCAUUAGUCCCGACAUACUAGAUCAGCACCAUUUCUAGAAGUGAAUGCUACUUCCCUUGAAGGAAAUACCACAUCCUCCUUUGUAAUUAUUACAAACGAGGAAAUGGCCACAAGCGAGGCCGGUGGAAUGGGAAAUGCAAGAACCAUGGCGUUCAAUUUCACAACCAGGUUCCAAUUUAUAAUCCAUACCUGAGCUUUAAGAAUGCAAAUCACCAGAAAGGCAAAGCUCAUAUGAACAUUCCUAGAAAUCCUGAAUGAGUUUGCCAUAGGUGUAGUGACAAUGGGCACCGGAUGCGUACCUGUCGUACCCCAAACAUCUGGUGGAUUUGUAUCAAACCUUCCUCAAGGAGAAGGGUGUCGAGACCAAUUUCCUCGACCAGGCUCAACCAAUGGAAAUAUCUGAUCCAGUGUCCAAUUUAUCAGGACAGUUGAACACAACCCACUUGGAUGUUUCAGACUUUAUUAUUGAAAUAGGGAAUGAAGUUUAUGGGUCCGAUUGGAUCAUUUAUGUUUAAUGUACUCUUGUUAUUUGUACUUGUGGUUUAAUGCUUGUAUUUUCAAUUCAAUAAAAGUAGUAUUCCGGUAUGAAUAAACUGCUUUUUAAGAACAUGGAUAAAAAUUAUGGUUAUUCUCAAAACAAGAGCAAUGGCGAGGACUUUUGUCUUGUAGACAGCGCAACCACGCAUUCAAUACUUCGAGAUCGAAAGUAUUUCUCGAACUUGGUACUUGCAAAAGUAAAGGUAACAACAAUAUCAGAACAAUCAGAUGUAAUUAAUGGCUCAGGAAAAGCCCAGAUUAUGUUACCAAAUGGAACAAUAUUGUCCAUACAAAAUGCGUUGUACGCCACUAGGUCUACUCGAAAUUUGUUGAGCUUUAAAGACAUACGUCUAAAUGGAUACCACAUUGAAAUGAAAAGUGCAGAAAAUGUGGAAUAUUUAUGCAUUACCUCCAAUGAUACCCAGAAGCGUAUAUUGGAGAAGUUACGUAGUUUAUCGAGUGUAUUGUAUUAUACAUACAUAAAGACAAUUGAGGCAUAUACUAUCAUGAACCAGAAGUUCAUUGAUUCAAAAGUUUACAUGCUUUGGCAUGACCGUUUGGGUCAUCCAGGAUCUACCAUGAUGCGUAGAAUCAUUACCAACUAUAAUGGACAUCCAUUAUUGAGCAGACACAUUGAUGUCUCAAAUGAUAACCCUUGCAAGGCUUGUUCCUAAGAGAAGUUGGUAAUUAGACCAUCACAACAAAAGGUUGAUGCUAAAUCCCCAUCAUUUUUGCAAAGAAUUCAAGGGGACAUAUGUGGGCCUAUUCAACCACCUUGUGGACCAUUUCGAUAUUUUAUGGUUUUGGUUGAUGCAUUUACCCGAUGGUCACAUGUUUGCCUAUUGUCUACUCGAAAUGUAGCUUUUGCGAGGCUUCUUGCUCAAAUAAUUAAGUUGCGAGCACAAUUCCCAGAUCACCCUCAUUAAGUCAAUCCGACUUGAUAACGCUGGUGAAUUUACGUCUCAAACCUUUGAUGUUUACUGCAUGACACUGGGCAUUGAUGUUGAACAUCAUGUUCCUCAUGUCCAUACUCAAAAUGGUUUAGCGAAGGCAUUUAUCAAGCGGCUUUAAUUAAUAGCUCGCACUCUACUCAUGAAAACAAAAUUGCCAGACUCUGCAUAAGGACAUGUCAUCUUACAUGCUGCAUCAUUAGUUCGACUAAGACUCAUAACCAACCACCAAUACUCAUCAAUACAACUCGUGUUUGGGCAUCAGCCAAACAUUUCACACUUACGAGUUUUUGGUUGUGUGGUUUAUAUGCUUAUUGCAUUGCCACAACGCACUAAAAUGGGACCUCAGCGCAGAUUGGGAAUUUAUGUGGGUUUUAAUUCACCAUCUAUCAUUAGAUAUUUGGAACCCUUGACGGGUGAUAUAUUUACAGCUCGUUUUGCAGAUUGUCAUUUUGAUGAGACAGUAUUCCCGUCGUUAAGGGGUAGAUAAGGCCGUUCCAGAAGAACGGAAAAAGCUAAAAUAGAUUGUUCCCAUCUUAUCUCAUUUUGAUAUACGAAUCACUCAAUGUGAAAAUGAAGUGAAAAGGAUCGUUCAUCUUCAAGAUAUUGCUAAUCAAAUGCCAGGUGCAUUUAAUGAUGCUUCGAAAGUGACAAAGUCACAUAUACCAGCUGCAAAUGCACCUACACGAAUUGAUGUCCUUGUUGGACAAAAUAAAGUGGCAGCGAAUGAUUCAUCUAGUGUACGCCUGAAGCGUGGUAAACCCCCAGGUUCAAAAGAUUUAGCUUCUCGAAAGAAAAAGAUGAGGGCACAGUUAAACCCAAAUGAAAUCAUUUAGGAAAAGAAAAUGAAUUAUAAAUUCACAAUUCAUGAUUCUGUACUUCCAGCAAAAGAAAAUGUCUUUGAUGAGACACCUGUCCCUGAAGAGACAGAAGUACAUGAAAGCAAAGAAAUAUUAAUAAAUUAUGCAUGUACUAAUGAAUUGUGGAAUCGAAAUGAAAUAAUCAUCGACGACAUGUUUGCAUUUGCAAUAGCCACUGAAAUUAUAUUAAGCGAUAACAUUGAGCCCCGCUCUGUUGAUGAAUGCAAACAGAGACAUGAUUGGCCUAAGUGGAAAGAUGCAAUCCAGGCAGAAUUAAAUUCCUUGGAAAGGCGUAGUGUUUUUGGACCAAUAUUCCAAACCCCGCCUGGUGUGAACCCCGUAGGUUACAAAUGGGUAUUCAUAAGGAAACGCAAAAAACAAGAUUGCAAGAUAUAAAGCACAACUCGUUGCACAAGGUUUUUCACAAAGGCCUGGAAUUUAUUAUGAAGAGACAUACGCUCCUGUAAUGGACGCAAUUACAUUCUGUUACUUAAUAAGUUUAGUGGUUUCAGAAAACUUAACAUGCGACUUAUGGAUGUCAUCACCGCGUAUCUAUAUGGAGAAUUAUAUACUGACAUAUAUAUGACAGUCCCAGAAGGAGCAACUUAACAAACCACGAGGUAUGUUCUCAAUCAAAUUAAAGCGAUUACUAUAUGGGCUAAAACAAUGUGGACGAAUGUGGUAUAAUCAUCUUAGUGAGUAUUUGAUUAAAGAAUGAUAUAUUAACAAUGUCAUAUGUCCUUGUGUGUUCAUUAAGAAAUCAAAUACUGGAUUUGCUAUAGUGGUAGUAUAUGUCGAUGAUAUGAACCUAGUUGGAACUCCUGAAGAGCUCAAUAAAACUACUGAAUAUUUGAAAAGCGAAUUUGAAAUGAAAGACCUGGGGAAAACAAAAUAUUGUCUCGGCCUGCUAAUCAAGCAUUGUGCUAAUGAAAUUUUGGUCCAUCAAUCAGCUUACAUUGAAAACAUACUGUAACAAUUUGGCAUGGACAAGGCUUAUCCACUUAGCACCUCAAUGGUCGUUCGUUCUUUGGACGUUAAGAAAGAUCCAUUCCAUCCAAAAGAAGAUGGUGAACUGGUCCUUAAUCCAAAAGUACCAUAUUUGAGGGCAAUAGGUGCUUUAUUGUAUUUAGCACAAUGUACUAGAUCAGAUAUAGCUUUUUCAGUUAACUUGUUAGCCAGGUAUAACUCUGCUCCAACAAUUCGUCAUUGGAAGGGAGUCAAAGAUGUUCUACGAUACCUUCGUGGGACAACAGACAUGGGUCUCUUCUACUCAGACAAGUCCACAAAUGACCAGAUCCUUGUUGGAUAUGCAGAUGCUGGUUUCCUCUCUGAUCCGCACAAAGCCCACUCACAAACUAGAUAUGUGUUCACUAAUAGAGAUACUGUAAUUUCAUGGCGCUCAACAAAGCAAACAUUAGUUGGUACAUCUUCCAAUCACUCGGAAAUAAUUGCUUUGCAUGAAGCAAGUCGUGAAAGUUCUUGGUUAAGAUCAAUGAUCCAUCACAUUCGGAAUUCAUGUGGUCUAUCUUCAAAGACAAAUACUUCAACUGUCAUCCAUGAAGAUAAUGCAGCAUGUAUUGCCCAAAUGAAGGAAUGAUUCAUCAAGGGUGAUAAGACUAAACACAUAUUUCCAAGGUUUUUCAGUGCACAUAAGCUUUAGAAGGCUAAAGUUAUUGAAAACAGACAAAUCCGUUCCAAUGAAAAUCUGGCAAACUUGUUCACCAAAUCUCUACCAAAGUGCACAUUUCAAAAGUUAGUGCAGCGAAUCGGAUUACGUCUAUUUACCAAUCUGAAGAAUGCGAAAUCAAAGGGAGAUACAAUUCAGGGGGAGCAUCUAUGACACAUGCAUGUUGUACUAUUUUUCCUUCGAUUAGGAUUUUUUCCUAAUGGGUUUUUCCUAUCAAGGUUUUAACGAGGCAACGUAAGCAUGCUUAACACCAUAUCAACAACCCGGGUAAAGUUGUACUCUUUUUCUUUCGCUAUGGUUUUUUCCCAUUGGGUUUUUCCAAGCAAGGUUUUAACGAGGCAACUGGUGUUGAUAUGUGGGUAUCCAAGGGCAAGUGUUGUAAAUAGUGGGAUUGUAUGCCCACAUGUGAAUAGUAAUGAAUAAGGCAUAAUUUGUUGUGUUAUGUCACGGGAAGUUAUUUUCAUUCAUUGUAAAUCUUCUAUAAAUAGAUCACCACAUAGGUGAUCAAGACUGUACGAGAGAAAAACAACUAAUAAUAAUAAUAUUCUUCACUUCAUCUACAAUCAUUUUAUGUUGAUAUAAUAUUUUACAAUUAAUUCGGUCCUGUCCCUUUUAACUUUUGUCUAUUUAUAACAAAGGUAGGCUAAAACUGGUUAGUUAUCAAAAUUUCCCUUACUCAAAACUUUGGCGGGGGAUAGCUAGGGCACAUCACAGUCCGUCUAGCUGAUUCAAAAUCGAAUCGAUUUUUGCAGUUUCGUCCUCGAAAUCUCUCUUGAUUUGCCAUGGAAGUCCCCAAGGAUGAGCCGCUGGCUGUUUUUCUGGAUCGGACCUCACGCGCCACGAGAGGGAAGAGGUAAUUAAAUUAACCGAUUCAUUCGAGAAGUAUCGAGAUUUUGGACUCAAUUUUUGAGAAUUUAUUUAUUUAUUUUUAUGAAUUUUCAGGAUGACUAAGUUACUGGAUGAGGAAAUCGAAGAGGAUGAGAUGUUCUGGAAUCAGGAGGCUCUCAAAGAGGUGAAAAAAUAAAUAAUAAAUUUAUAUUUGGACUAAUUUUAUAUAUUUUUCAGUGAGUUUUUUUUUUAUUUGUAGUUUAUGUUAUGAAUGAAAAUUAAACUAAAAAUUGUGGUAGGAUGAAGAUGAUGGAAACUAUGAAGCAGAGCCUGAGGUUGCUGACGAAUUUGAUAGCGAUUUUGAUGAAGAUGUGAGGUUUUUUUUUUUUUUUUGGGGUUGUUUACUUUAAAAUGUUAGUAUUUUACUUGUUGGAUCUUUUUUAGAGUUGCUUAAUUUGUUUGUAGGAGCCAGACCCUGACGAAGGAGCGGAAAACAACGACGCAGAUGAGAGGUGAGUUGAGUUUUUGCUUGAACAAAUGACAUUUAGAUUUCUUUUACUCAGAAUUGAUGGUGUUUGGUGAUUUUACAGAGUGAGGACGAAGAAGCGGCUGAUAUAUCCGGGAAAGCAAUCGAGCAAGAAGAAGAAGAAGAAGAAGAAAGUGAUAUCGGAAUUAGAAUCCAAGGAUGGAAAUGAGAAGUCUUCUCAUCCCGAACAACAUCAGGAUGCUCCUGAGGAAGCAGAAGUAGAGAGAACUGUGAGAAAAUCUACUAGAACUUCAGUGGUUGUCCGUCAAGCUGAGAGGGACGCAAUACGUGCGGCCUUGCAAGCAACCAUGAAGGUCAGUUUUCAAUAGGUCUUGAAUGAACUUCAAAUUUAGAUUGAAAAUCUAGUGUCUAUUGUUUAUGAGAUCGAUGUGUUGAUGAAUUCAUCAUACCGUUUGUAAUGGAUAUCAAUUUUGGUUUUCAUCAGCCGAUUAAGAGAAAAAAGGAAGGCGAGGAGAAGAGGAUGACUCAAGAAGAGAUGCUCUUAGAAGCAGCUCAGACAGGUUUGGAUUUCAUGUCUCAGCAUUAGUAAUUAGUAAUUAGUAAUUAGUAUGUGACGUGAAUUGCAUGGUACUUGUUAAUGUUUGUUUGGAAGUGAGGCUGUAACUAAGCUUGAAUUGUUGCCUGUAAAUCUGCAGAAAUUAUGAACUUGAGAAAUUUGGAGCGUGUUCUAGCGAGGGAGGAAGAAGUUAAGAAAAGAGCCAUUGUACAUAAGGCUGUCUAUACUGGUCCACAAGUACGUUAUUUUUCAAAAGAUGGUAAGCUUUCGGCGUUACACUUUUCUAAUCAAACUUGUUUGUUAGGAAAACAAGAGUCACCGUUUGCAUAUGCAGAUUUUGUCAUUUCAGUCAGAAAUCUCUACCGCACCUGUUCCCUGUAAGUAGUAGUUUUAUGAAUGUAACAUUCAGGGUUUCUUAAAGUUACGUAUCAUAACUGUGGUUUUGAUGCGUCUAUUUUUAUUUCCAGACCCUGAGAAAGCUGUCUGUGCUGUUACUGGUUUACCUGCCAAGUAAGUGUUUAGGUUUCCGAGUAGUUGUUUAGACAAGCAGCUAAGAAUGCCUAUAGAGAAUGUGAGCGAUGUUUAAGGUGCCUAUCUGACCAUCCCGUUUCAUUUGAUGCUUUAGGUACCGUGAUCCAAAGACAGGGCUACCUUAUGCAACAAAAGAAGCUUUUAACAUCAUUCGGCAACGGUAUGGUCAAAAUUCAUUGUUUUACAUUAGUAGGCAUUCACUUUCAAUGAGCAUAUAUUUCGAUCCUGUGGUUUUAAUAUCCCCUUGUUUAGUUAUAUUUGUACUUGUAGAUUCCCUGAUAUGUUUUUGGUUGUAAAUUUUCAGUUUUCUACAGGAAAGUGGUAGGGUCAGGAAAGAGAUGGACAUGGGUGACUUGUACGGUUCACUUUCUGGUAAGGGGUUUUCUGCAAGGGGGAAGAGAUCAGUGGCGUCAAAUAACAUCGAUGCGUCGUAUUCUCGAUAUUUUGCACGUUUCCGCAGAAUUCCAGCUCUUGAAAGCGAAUCAUCUGAUUAGGUUCCAUGGUAAUCCGAAGAGUAUAUGUUGAAUCUGAUAGUAUUCUCAUAGGAAGCCCUUGCUCAAUGUCUCAUGGUACUCUCGGAAGGAUUUGUUUACCCUGUGCAAUUUAUAAAGGUAAGAAUUGUUAUACAUUUUUGCGCGGAGGCCUAAUUGGCAUGGUACCAGAGAACAAAAUAGGAUAUAAAUUGCACGAGGAAAGACGAUAAAAGCUCUGGGGGAGAAGUUGCGUAAGUAUUUCAAUUGUGUGCAGUUGUAAAUUGAAAUAAAUCAAUAUGCUUAUCUAAGAUUGAGAUAUAUGAUUGAAUUUCUCUGUAAUUAGUUUGGCAGUAGGGUUGUAUGGUGCAAAACUUGAUCGUACUCGCGGGAUGGCUAUGUCCAACUACUGUUUUAGAAUGAAGAGCCGGCGGGUUGCAACAGAUGUAAGCAGUGUAUCAUAUGAUAUAUUUUGCAUUGCAUUUUAUGUCACGUUGGUCAUUGAAAGCUCCAUUUUGUUGUUAAUACUGAGCGUGAUAGCGAGUUGAUUAUGCGAACCCAUGCGUGUGCUUCUGCAAGCUGCAAACAAUGUCAUUACGACGAUAAGAACCAACCAAAGUGUCAAAAAAAGAAAAGAAUGGUCCAUAGCACCCCCAAUUCAUGCUCCAAGGAAGGAUUCAAAGUCAGCUCAAUAUAUCAAAUGCCUCUGCAGUGCAGCAAAAACACACACAGAAUUGUCUAAAUUAAAACUCCGAUACACUUCUCUGCGUUGCAAAUGACACAUUGAAUGGAAAUCUAGCAGACCUGACGAUUUUAAGCGUCGUUCCCCAGUAAUACGUUUGAUCAAACACAUGUUACUGCUUUUUCUCUUCAGCUUUCUUCGGCUGAAAGAAACAACCAACGGAACCAUGAGGAAAAUAAUAUAGUUUAACAAAAUAAAUCCUUCUAGGCAGGAAGGUGAAAGAUCAUUUAAGAUAAAAAACAGAGAGGUCUAUAAUCCUUCUAUAUAAAAGCAAAGGCCAAAUUGGAUUAUUCAUCCCGUGGUCAUAGGAAACCUGCAUGAUGACCCCCGUGGUGAAAAAACUAGGAAUUAAACCCUUGUGGUCAAGAAUGUUAGUAAAUUUAGUCCAAAAGUAAGAUUUCUGUUAAAUGACUGUUAAAAGUAUAUUUAAAACUGUAUUUUCAGUUCCAAUUGACAUUUAAAAUAAAUAAUUUUUUUAUAACAAUUAACAAAAAAAAUAAUGCUUAAUUUUUUAAAUAAAAAAAAAGCCCCAAUUCAAUGUCAAUUGGAACUGAAAAUACAAUUUUACCCCAACUUUUAACAUCCUUUAACAGAAAUCUUACUUUUGGACUAAAUUUGCUAACAUUUUAGAUCACAGGGGUUUAAUUCCUAGUUUUUUCACCACGGGGGUCAUCAUGCAAGUGUCCUAUGACCACAAGGAUGAACAAUCCAAUUUAGCCAAAAGCAAAAGGUAGGAUGCACAUGCAAAAGCUACGGAAUUGUCUUUCAAAAACCUGCAAAGGCACACACAAACAUGUAGAAAGUGCAAGAAACAUAAAUUUUAAGUCCCCUUGGCACUACAAGGAAAUGCCGCCCAAGCAUCCGAUGGCCUUCAAGAUGAAUAUUGAAUAAUCCAAAAAAUGUUGACCAAUUUUGACAGACAAAUAAGGAUUUGGAUGUGAACAGGUGAUGCAACAACUAUGAUUUUAGAUAACAAAUCCCAACAUCCCGGUUUCCAAAUUCUUGCUUCAUCUUGAUGCAUUUUCUAUAUUCAGGUAAUCGUGGACACUAAUGGUAUUUAAUGCAUAAGAAACAAAUAACACACCAAUCAUAAACUAUGAAAACUGUGAUCAAAAUUGAUGGUAAAGCAGAUCAAACAGCAAGGAAAGGCCAGUGAAGCCAAUCCUAAACUUUUAACACAACCAAAAUGAAGGCAUAUAUAAACAUCGGCAACUGUGUGGGUAAAGACAGUGGUAAAGAGAUACCAUCAUGAUUCAUCACCAUCACCACGGUCCAUGGCUCAUGUCACGAGUCAUGAGUCUUGCUUCCCAUUUCAGAACAAAACGACCCUGACUGUACUAUCAUUAUCGAAAUCCACAAGCAUCAGUCACAAACCGAAGCUUGAACAAGUCAUGAGAUGAAAGAAAAAAUAUGUAAAAACUUACCACCUUUAUCUUAUUGAAUAUGGCUUACAGGGAGAAAAAGGGUGAAAAAGGGAUAAGUUGAUCGCUAAAUCUCUUUUGUACAUGAACAUAAAAAAAAACGCAGCACAAUGACACCAAAAGCUGACCCUGCACUUCCGCAAAACAUGAAUUGUUUGCAAGUUUUAAAACAAAUCUCAAAGAAAAUGCUAUACAAGGGUAAAUAUCAGUGUGGUUUGUUUAUCAUAAUUUUGAAUUAUCUUUCUGGGGUUUAGGGUUUAGGGUUUAAAAUUGAAUAUUUUCAAGUUUUAGAUACAAUUUUCUUUCAUUUCAUCUGAAAUUCAGCAAAAGAGACGGUCACCCAAAGCGAAAACGGGGAAAUUAAAAGAAGCCCAACGAAUCUUUCGUCGAUCAACCGAAUGGUUAUCAAUGCAGCUGGGGGUCAGUUUUGAGUAACUAAGUGAAGAAAUUGAAUGUGAAAGACAUAGACUGUAACAUGUGAUGUGUGCGCGCGCAUACAUGCGUAUAAAAGGGUCGGAUUUUGAAAAGGAAAUAUAGACAGACGCACAGGGUCAUUGUGCACUGCACCGAGCAAGAAUGGCAAUCAACAAUGGUGACUACAUUUACAGCAAUCAAAACAAUAGCAUAAUUACAAGUUCCAAGCGAUGCACGUUACAUGUUCGACGAAAUGUAUGCCACAGACAGAGAGAGGAUUCAAUCACUAACAAAAAAAAAGCCCUUGGCCCUCAGCCUUUAGCUCUUAGAUAGAGAAGCAAAAUGUAAAUUCUAUUACCUUGGUGCCGGGGGCCGGUUGGUGGAGCUCGCCGCUGGGGAUAAUAACGGGCCAGGACUCGCCGGCGUCGCGGAACAUCUGCUCGGUCUCGAGGCUCUGACCCUUUUCGAGAAUCAUGUUGCGGAUAUCCUGGGCGGGAGUGGCGGUGGCGUCGUAGACCUGCUCGACGCCGUUGACGAAGGUGACGGUGAUCUUGGGGGGCUGGUCGUCGGUGCGGCGCUUGACUUGGACGGCGCAGGAGGGGUUGGACUCCUUGGCCUUGCGGGCGUUGCACUGCGCCAGGAACUCCAGACAGGAUGCCGUUCGAGGGUCCAAGGCAUUGAACUCGAUCCUCACUCUCGAUAGGAACUUCAACAUGAUAUCUAACUGACUCUCAGUUUGUUUGUUUUGAUUGUUUUGAGUUUUGGUUACUCGAGCGAGGGCUCAACAAAACAAUUGUUUGAGAAUUGCUAUACAAGAGUAUAUUCCACACCAUGGUCUUAAAUGCCUAUCGCCGAUAUUAUCGGUUUUCCGCAUUACCGAUAUUUUAAUGGGAACUUUAAUGAAAAGUACUCGGUACUGUUCAUUUUAACAAAAAAUCACAUUUUUACACUAAAAAGUCAAUCCUGGUACUAUUCACUUUACUCUUUAUUUUGUCCUUAUCAUUAAAACUCAAAAUUUUCAAGCCUUUUUCAUUAGUUUUCCUUAUUUUAAUAGGUAUCUAAUUAGUUUUCGUCAAAAUAUCGUGAAAUAUUGGAUCUGUGCACAUCGGAGAAGAACGCCGGAGCUUCUACAGCUCCGGCCGACUAUAAAAGAGCACCCUAGACUCCGAUCUAGGUAUCAAAAUGAAAUAGAAGACGAGAGGAAUGUUUUUAUAACUUCUGUUUGCCGUGAAACGGUCGGAGGUGUUCGGAAAGUUCGUCAACACCCACGGCCUCGCCGGAGAUGGGUGUGCCUAUUCCCGAGCCGAUUUUGUCCCAAAAAUCUUGCAAAAACACAAGAUAGAACUUAAAUUUCACAUCUAAGCUUCAAUCUAGAACAGAAAGAGGUAAACCCGAAGCUUACCUAACCGGAGAAAUUCAAGAAACUCGCCGAAGGGUUCCUGCGUUCGCCGAGUUGCAGAGACGAGAAGGAAAGGGAGAAAGACGAGGGUUCCUGCGUUCGCCUGAUUUGACGAAUGAUCAAUCUCGAGUGGUACGACGACGAGGAGAUAGAGGAGGGGGAAGAGGAAGAGGAAGGGGAAGGCGACGUCGUAAAGGCGGAGUCGUCGUCUUCGACUAGCUUCUCCGAUUUGAUGAAAUCGAUGAUGAGAGCGUCUAAGGCUUCCCAGUUAAUUGGCGUCGAGUCCAUUUUUUGGAAUUUUCCAGGAAAAUUUUGGACUGUUUGGUUGGAAGGAAAAUGACGAGAGAGAGAGAGAGGUGGAGGCUCGGAGGGGAAAAUAUUAUGUGAAACAAAGGGAAGACACGAGAUCUUUCGUAAAUUAGAGGGCAGAGAGGUGCGAGUAAUGUUAGUGUCACCGUGUGGGUGAUUUAGGUUUUUUUACUGACUUGUACGUGGACGUCUUGGGGUGUGCAAAAUAUUUGAUCUGAUCUAAUUUGAUUUGCGCACAUUUGACGUCUACGGAUCUGGAAAAUAUAUAACAAAAUGGUAAUUUUCUUAUUGUUAUUUUAUUUUGAUUUUUUAUAUAUAAAGAAUGAGUACAUUAUAAAUAAGUUGUGAUUAUAUAUGUGUUUGUGAUUACAUAUUCAGCCUGUAAUAUUUAUAUGGUCGUUAAGAUGUUUGCAAGGCUUGCAAGCUAAUAUUUAUUAUCUAGGAUAAAUUUCUGUAUUUAAAAAAAAAAACACCAAGGGGAUUCGAACCCCUCCCAUUUUACUCCUUCAACAUAGUGAAAAUUUUGAACCUCAUAGGAAUUCUAUGUGGUACUAAGUCACUCAUGCAUCUUACCAUGCAAUGUAUAAAGUGUAAAAUAUUGUACUAAUUCAUUAUAUAUAAAUGAUUAUGGUGUGUUUAAACUUCUUUCAUUAAUUACUACAUAUUUUCUACACUCACAAUGUUUGCCAGCUCGCUAUAUAAUCAACUUAAAUCAGUUAAAUCCAUCAUGUAAUGCAUUUCCUUACAAUUUUUUAUGAUAAACUAAUAGAUAAUUGACUAAAUAAACAUCCUGCAAAGUUUCAAUAAAAAUUUUCAAGUUUUUCUUACAAUUCCCGUGGUUUCCAUAUUAUUUUUAUCGAUAUCGAUAAUAUCCUGAUAUUUCCAUCGAUAUUUCUGUAUUUUUGAACUACCGAUAUUUCCGAUAUCAUCGAUAUUUUAUACCCUGUUCCACACUAAUGUUAACUUGUUGGGAAGCACUUUUAAAAUAAUAGAAAUCUCUUUUAAAGAAAAUGUUUUAGGUUACCAAUGCUUAGUGGUUCAAUAGGUGGAGUUUGUUCCUCUUAAGCAAGGUCUCGAGUUCGAGCCUUGUGAAUAGAGAAGCCAGCAUUGGGAAAGCUUGCCCCUCGAAUGAGGUCCGAUCCGGCUCGAGGGAUUAGUCCUCACCUACGUGCGGUGAAUACCCUGGAUUCAUCCAGAAAAUGUUUUAGGUUCUAAAAGCACCCUAAAUGCUUUCUGCAAUAAACACCAGUUAUAUGCUUUUUUCAAAAAGCAUUUUAACUGUUCUUUUAGAAUUUACUUGCAUUUUUACUAAGGAUUGAUUCCAAAAACUUUUUUUUUUCCAAAAACGCAAUCAUAUUAAAAACACUUCUAGACAAGCUCAAGGGUUGUAUUUAAAGAGUUGAAACUGAAACUAAUUUGGCUCGUGUACGGAGUUUCCGUACAUACAUGUUGAGUUGUUCCCUUUUCCAAAAUUCAACUCUCUACAAGUUCGCCAUUUGUGUCUAAAAAUGCUUUUAAAAUAGCUAAAAACACUUUUUUUUUUUGCAUCUGAAGGUGCUUUAAUAUGAUUAUUUCUAAUUUGUAAAUUGUGUUAGCUAUACAAUAAAUUCUUGAUUUAUAUUAAGUAACCAAAACCACUUCACUGUAAAAAAAAAAAAAAAAAAAAAAAAAAAAAGCACAUGAAAUUGCUUUUCGAAAGAAUAUGCACUUCUCAUAGAAGCUCACAGAGGGCUUAAGCAAUAAAAAGAAUAUGGGUUUCAGCUGAUUAAUUACAGCACAACACUAGCACAUAAAAGGUAAAAACUUGAUAGAGUCAAAAACCCUUGGGUCAUUUACAAAUUCAAAUUCAUCGACGCCUAUUCCGAGUGUAGCUUGGGGAUCCUGUGUUGCCUCUGUAGUUCCUGCUGGGAGAAUCUAGUGAUCCCCUAAACGAAGCAUAAGCACGUUUAGCUGAUUCGGGUACUGAGUCUAACGGAAUUGACUCUACAAAACAUGCCGUGUUGAUGUGAGUCCUCUCAAGCUCUGCUUGAAGUAAUUCAGAGCUAUACUGCUGAGCAAGUGCCUGAGGCAUUCAACAAAUUACUUGUGAGUUAUUUGCAUGUACGAAAAGAACCAGAAGCAUAGAACUUCACUCAAAGGUCUAAAAUGAGAACCAAUUGACGCGGUAAAAGAUUUCUUUCAUCCUAUUUACUAUUCAAUAUACUAUUCUGGUCGACUAUGAAUAUGCGUAUGCACACAAUAACUGUCACGAUACCCAACUAGUCAACUUGGGGAUUUGUAUUUUAAACAAUGUAUAAGAAGAAAUCACAAGAGAACUGAGGUUUCUUACAAUGAGGUCAUCUGGUGAUACACUCAUCCCAUCCUGUCUAUCAUCAGCAGCCUCUUCACUUCCACGUGUUGCUCGUCGAUUAUGCCCUGGAUUCUCCGCAUUUUCUGAUACACUCUCAGUGGCUUUAUCGAGAAGUACCCCUUGUAAGGACUUCAUAGACUCCCUUGCAUCCGCAGUGAAAUAUGGAUUCAAUAUAGUCUCGAAGUAUUCAAGCUGCAUAAUAUACACAGAAGCCAAAUGUCUUAGAACCACAUUUUACUCUACAUGAUUAUGAUGGUAGUGACUUAUUCACUCCCAACAAGAUCACAUGAAAUGAAUACUCCAUAAUUUUCUAUUUUGCAUAUGCAUAACGUGUUGGAUACAUUAAGAUCUUAUCAAAAUCAGGUGCAUUUAGACAUAACGUUUUUAUCUCAGAACAUUCAUCGAGCACCCAAGGAAUAUGGUGCAACUGCCAUUUAUUAUUGCUCAUCACCAAAGCUAUAUGCAAAUUCAAAACCAUCAAACUUCAUACAUCUACUGCAAAAAUCUGUUACCUCUAGCAUUAGCUGACAGAAACCAUUUGCAUCAAGUGACCUAAGCUCUUUCGAUUUAUUUUCAUGGAACAGACUGAUAAAAGUGUCAAUUAGACCUUCCACAAGAAUGCCAAGUGUCUUGUCCAAUAAGGGCUUAGCACCAGAAAAUACCUGGAAAGAGGAAAUUGAUUUCUUUUAAGUUUAUUGAGAAGAAAAGUUAGAGCUAGGAAUAUGAAACUGCAUAUAUGCAUUACCACUUGAAAAAUAAAAAUAGAAAGAAAAAAUAUGUUAUUUACACGCUCACCUAAGCUGCUAAGCAAACAAUGAAUCACUUCAUACUAUGGCCUAAAGAAGAAAGUCAUCAUGAAAUAAAAACUAGAAAACAGAAGUUAAAAACUGCAAACUACUAAAAUCCUUCUACAAGACAUUAAAAUUUAAUAUAACACAUGGCUUUCCCUAAGUACCUCUGCAUGCACAGCUACCAAAGUGUGCAGUAACUCCACAGCAGCAUCACGCACACCCUGCAAGACACCACCAUUGUAUUAACUCUUCCAGUUCAGUCAUUGAAAAGAAAUUGUUAAAUAUAAAGACAGCUACAAAUGCUAAAUUCUUUAGUUUCUUACUUUUACAGCAGGUGCUGCUCCCCAUUGAACACCAGAAUCCAAUAAAUAGUUCCAGGCAGCAGUUCUGAUCAAAUUUGCCUGAGAGGAAAAGUGAACUGUUGUUAUGUUUGACAUAUGGACUACAGAAAACUGCAUCAUAUUUCCAAUCCAUGUACGCUUGAAUUUUGUGAACAUUGCAAACACACCCCUUCCCCAUAAUCAUGGGGAGAGGAGAUGCCCUUUGACACAAAAGAAAUGAAUUGCCUUAUGAUAAACUAAAAAGAGAUUCUUUCAGAAUGUUCCUGCCAGUGCACUUAAAUGGUUGUAUGAGGACAUCAACUAAGGUGGACCUAUAACUUAACUACACUUUCUGAGCCAAGAAGGCUGUAAGUGUAGAAAAUGGCCACACAGAAACACAAACUGACAAGAGAAAGCAAGAUAAUACAAUAGAACUACAAAAGAUCUAUGUGCGUGUGUUGGGGUGUUCAUCUAUACCUUAGCAAAAGUAUAUUGCUCAAGGACCUUCUCUUCAAGGCCAGAAAAGGACACCACUAGGUCUUGUAUGUCACCAUCCUCUUCUCCUCUUUCCCUUUAAAAAAUAUAUAAACAUAGAAGGUACAAGGUAAUUAGGCAUCGGCAGAUAAGUACAUAAAAGUUUUAAACCAUCAAUAAGUGAGCACGAGUCAACCAUCAGUCAGCUGAGGCAUAUCACCGAUUGGUCUAAUGUUUUGUUUUUGUUUGGGUUUUUUAUAACCUGGAGCAUCCAAAUCUUUGACCCGACUAACUCCCAAGGAGGCAUUUAAACCCUCCAAUUCAAACGGGCCAGGAAAACCCAUUGGUCUAUCUACUUAAUAGUAAAUUCAACACCAUGUUCGUUAUUGCAUUCUUAUCACAGGUGGAGCAAAAUUUCAUAUGAACUAGUAGAUUUCAACAAACAAGUUUUUAAUUUUUAUAUAUGUUAUACAACUAUUAUUGGGGAAAGAGGAAUUGAAAACCUCGGGUGGAUGAGUAAAUGCAGCUAACCAUUUGAGCUAGAAGCCCCUUGCUUCAAAAAUGAAUCUAUAAACAAAAGAUUUAUAUCCUAAAGCCUGCUCAUAUACAAAUCCAGUCAGUCUUUAUCCUACAAAAUAGUUACUGAACUGGACUUGGCCAUUUGAAUGUGAAAGAUACAAGAUAGUAGCCAAUAUUAUUUCUGGUUCUUGGGUUCCCACUUCAGUGGGUUAUAUAAAGCAUUUCACACAUCAAGUAUUCCAAUUGCUCCGAAUAAAGAGGGAAAGAAACAUGAUAAUAUCUCUACAGUUCAAUGAAGGGAAAUGUAGUGGCCACAUACCUAGACUGUAGCCAGAUGUGCUUGUAAUUGUUGUACAACUCAUAAGAAAGUUCUUCUCUGCAAUAGCCAACAUUACUCAAGACUAUUAACAACUGUUGAUGUGGACUAACACUUCCUGGGAGAUCUGACUUUUCUUCUAGGGUAUGAGAAUAUCCAUUUUGUACGUGUGAACUUCCUUUGCUUGAUUUGUUUAUGGCAAGCUCACUUCCACUACGCUCUAGAUGACCUGAUUAAUGGAAAUGUCAUAACUGAACAUUAAAUACUUAGCAUCAUGAAGUUGAGUUAGCUACUCAUCCAUCAUACCUGCAAAAUCAAGCAUACAGUUCAAAAAUGCAAGUCUGACAGAUUCUUGUGUUUCUUGGAGUUGCAUGAACAUAUCCUCUGACUUCGUAGCCUCAGUUCUUAAAGAUUGAAUCAUCCUGAAACAAAUAAUACUGUUAAUGAUGAAUAUAUAAAUAAUGAUUGAAUGUUCUGAAUUUCUUCAGAGGAACGGGUAAUGAACACUUAAAAGAUCUUGAGCCUGUCUAUCACUUGAAAACUCUUGUUUAAGUCGGGUUUAGAGACUUACAACUUGAUUUGAUCCAUUGCUGAGGUCAUAACAUUACAGAAUGCUAGAGGCAAGAAAGAGAUUGUAUAGGGAGAUUUAUUCCUUUCAAGAACCGAUACUGGAACCCAUGUCUCGUCUUUUGAAAUCUCUGCAGUUGAUGCCCGCAUCCAUGAGCAGAGCCUUAGGAUGUAAAUCUUAGUAAUUUCCGACUGAAGUGCUCGAGUUGCAGUUACUGUUACAAAAAUAAGUCCAACCUUCAGAGCACUUUAAGAAAUCAGCACAUUGCAGGUUAAGAGAACGCAAAGAUACCAGCAAUAGAAGGAGCUGAUUCUUUUGCUUGGAAAGCUUCACAUGCUCUAGAUAUUUCUGUUAUGGCAUCCCUCAUAUACGGUUGCAGAAUGUUUGAUUCUUCAAGAUCGCGAAAUGUAUUGCAAACCUGCAUCAAGAGAAUAAAUUUAUAACCACCUACCAAACCUUGGGUUUAAACUGAAGAUACGCAAAUACCUACAGUUUAAUGCCGUUUGGCAUGAGCUGAUAUUAAAUUUUGAUUUGAAGCAUAUAAAUACAGCAGAUGAAACUAAAAUACAGUUUAACAUUUCUAUUCAAGCAGCAAUUUGAGAGGCUCCCUAUCUCCCAUAAGAGUCACAAGACAAACAAAAAAGAAAUAUAACUUUAAUUAGAAGUUGAAAAUUCACAUUUUCCUUUAAACUAUCCAGGUAGCCUUAUCUCUAAAUUAAGUAUCAAAGAAUGCAGAACAGAGUUGAUACAGCAACUUGUCAUUCUGCAAUUAAAACAGAAAAUACUCAGUUUUACUAAAAAUUACAAACUAAUUUGGUAUAUUUUGUACUCAAACAUAUCCACAGUCAUCCAAGUACUUAAGCUUAAUGAACUAAGGCUUCCAUUUACGUAAUGCUAAAUGGUAACAAACAGGUUCAGCCAGCAUACUCACCUUGACUUCAUACGCAGAUAUGGUAUUCCGUAUCAUUCCAGCAACUUCAUCAAGGGAAUGAGUGGAGUACUUCCCAUCUCCAACUUUAUCCUCAGCUUUAUUUGCUGGAGCGUUAGCAUUUGAUUCAGUAGAAACUUGGGACGACUGAAAGAUUGAGAUUCACAUGAAUAAAAGUGAAAUCAUCUCUCACAAACAAAAAAAUAAGAUCUUUUCUUAAAUAUAGCAACACAAAUAUAAAUAUAAAUAAGGUUCAUCUUAAUUGAAUAUGCAUGUCACUGCUUCAAUCACUAGUGAACAGGUCAUAGGCUUAAGUUCUCUGUGCAUAUUCUCACAUAUUAGCAGCCAGCAUAAAUAUGUAUCAGCUUAAAUAUGAUGACACUCAUAUUAUGAUGCUUGAACAAACAUGAUGGUGUUUGAGGUAAAGAAAUCAACCUCUGGCAUUGGAAAUAAUUAAACCAAAUGGAGGGAAAUAUGCAGAGGCUAAGGAACUCAGGUUUUGCAUUUGAGAUAAUAGUAAAAAGAAACCCACAGCUCAUCUAUCUUCAUGCAGUUUGGAAGCUUACAUUCUUUUUCUGAGUUAUAAAUGUUAAAAGGUAAUUUUAAGGUUUGUAUAAUUGGAAGCCCAUACUCCAUGGUAUAAUUCUACCAUUGCAUUCUUCACUUGAAUUCAAAAGUCUGAUGUUAAAUGAAUGAAUAUAUUACACCAAUGGGAAAUGGAUACAUAAAAACAAAAAAACAAAAACUAAUUUAAGAAGUUAUAUAAAAAGAGAAGGUAAAAUAAUAAAUGAGUGAUGAAGUGGGUGAUAAACAUUUGCUGGGGAACUUCGUAACUUUACCAAAUUACGCUGGCUGUUUAUUGAUAAACUCAUCUUAUAUUGAUGGUUUUCUAUAUAAAUUAAGUCGGGCCAAAGCUUCCAGCCUACCUCCUACAGUUGACAUUAUAUAGUAGUAUCGAUGUGUGAUAAAAGUAAAAUUGUGGUAUAAUAACAGACCCAAUUGCCAUACUAUAUUAUCAGUUCUACGAAACUGUUUCUCUUAUCAGACUGAAAACAGAAGGUGCACUAUGUGCAUGUAUAUAUAUGUAUAUUCAUGUGUGCACUAUGUGCAUGUAUAUACAUGUAUUUCUCGAACUGUUAAAUAAAAUGACCCAAAAAUUAUUAAAGGUAUAUAAGAUAAAACGCAUGAGCAUCAUUAGAAGAUAAUUUUUAUCAACAAUUAAGAGUAGAUCUUACAUAAAUGGCAAAGCUUAGAAUAAAGUGUUAACCAUACCUUUGCGAAUUUCCCACUGAAAACAGAAAGUGCCACUUUCCAGAAAGCUGGUAUGUGAUGGAUAAGUACAGCAGUUAAUCUGCGAAUAUACCUCCCUCUAAGUGCAUCAACUUCUUCACCUGUCAAGUCCACUGGCAGAGAAUCUACUGGAAGGUGGUUGUCCCCAAGAGAAUAGUUGACAUAUGACUGACAGUAGUGUAAAAGAACAAAGUGUUAAGCACUGACCCAAUCUUUAGCUGUUAAUCAGUGUAAGAUGAUCCUUCUAAGGGUCACACUUACAGAUUGACUUAUAUCUUCUUGAAUCUGUCUCCAUCUUGCAUCAGACAAAGCCCUUUCACGUAACUCAUUAUGUAAAGUCCCCAUCCUAGCUUCAUGAUCCAAUGUGCAUUUCUCAAGCAAACCUCGAAUUCUGUUAUUCUGAAAAAAGAAACGAACUAAAAGAAUUCAGUAUGUUAACUAUGGGCCCCUCUCUAGUUUUUAAUGCAUAGUCACAUUCAGGUGCAAUAUCAGGGUGUUUCCCCAAGAACCCUCUCUAGUUUUUAAUGCAUAGUCACAUACAGGUGCAACAUCAGGGUGUUUUCCCAAGAAGGAAAUUAAAAAACACGUCCUCUGUUUUUCUUCCGAAAGCUUUUUGUGUGGUGGUGUGAAGGGGGAGAGAGACUGUUAACCAUUAGCUGUUAGUUGCGUCUGAAAAACGAACUAGGGUUGAACCUCUCUUUUAAUAAAAACGAGAUUCUAAUAACAAGGAGAAGAGAGUCAUACAUACGAGGACGAGAUAUCCACAAAUUAAAAGGAGGGAAACAUAAAUAUCAACCAUCAACACAUAAGACCAAUGAGAAAUAUAUAUUAAAUAAAUAUGGACCACCCCAUUACAACGCCAGAACGUAAAUCUGGACCCUUGGUCAGGUUGAUUAUUGCCAUUAUCGUCCAGAUUCAGAGUCUAGCAAGAAAACGGUAAUCCAUUCAAGUGGACCCUUUAAAUGCAUAUAAGCAAACUGCAGAAGUGGGAUCCCCAUAUUUUUGCAAGAAAUGAAAAUAGCUUGUAGGCCCACCCCACAUCAUAGUGCAAGAUACAAAUCUAACUUUUAACCGUGAUCAAAUAAAUAAACAAGGCUCAACUUUAAGUCCUUACCCUAACUGUGAUCAAAUAAAUAAACAAAGCUUAGCUUUAAGUCCUUACCUUUUGCAUUGGUAAUAAAUGAGCCAACGGGACAUAUUCAAGAUGAUAUCCCUUGGAUCUAUCUUGCAAAAGAACAAAGAAUUGGAUGGAGAUCUCAACCAUAUAAUACAAGCUGGAUGGACGAAGUGGAAGAGUGCAUCGGAUGUGUUGUGCAAACAUCGCAUGCCAUUAAAGCUCAAUGGGAAAUUUUAUAGGACGGCAACAAGGCCAACAAUGUUUUAUGGCACAUAAUGUUGGGCGUUCAAGCAUCACCACGUGCAAAAAUUAAGUGUAGCAAAGAUGAGAAUGCUUCGUUGAUGUGUGGGCACACAAGAAAGGGCAAGAUUAAGAACGAGGGUAUCUGAGGUAAAGUAGGAAUGACCGCAAUUGAAGAUAAGAUGAGAAAAAAUUGGUUAAGGUGGGUUGGACAUGCAAACCAAAGACCUACAUAUGCGCCAGUUAGAAAAUGUGAUUAUUAGAUAAAGGGUCAGGGCAAAAGGGGUAGAGGAAGACCUAGGAAAACUUGGAAAGAAACUUUGUGAAAAAAUAUGAAGUACUUGGAGCUAACGGAAGACUUGGGACAAAACCGAGCGCAGUGGCGCUCUAGGAUUCAUACAGUUGACCCCACUUAGUGGGGCAAGGCUUUGUUGUUUUUGGUGUUAAGAGUAAACACUGAAAUUUCAUUACUAUAAUCAAAUGAUGGUUCCGUUUUGAUUGACUUUUGCAAAGGUAAUCCUUGAAUCGAAAAGUAAAAAAUAGACGUUCAGAUCAUUCAAAGAUAUGGAGACGAUACAUAUUUCCUACUCUACCAUUGCCGCUUACAUGUGGGCCCUUCCCAUCACUAGAGAGCCCAAUAUGUGCUUAAUAUACGUUGGGAAUUACAAUUGCAAAGAUUCAAAUCAAGACUUCCUGCUUAGAUACCAUGCUAAAUUUGGUUGGUUUAUCAUUAUUUCCAAAAGCUUAAGCUAUUAGAAUGUGGCACAACAAUCAUUUUAUACUCUCUCUACGAAACUGGCUUCAACAACUAAGCAACUACAAUUUCGAAUUUUAAUGGUAAUAAACAUGAUGAUUAAAAUCACCUUCAGCAUUGCUUAGUUUACAAUUAAGGAAUUAAAAAGAAACAAUAAAUAAAUCCCAAGUAUGGUUACAAAUUAAUAAAUAAAUCCCAAGUAUGAUUACAAAUUAACUAACCUGUAUAUUUAAAUAGUGCCAUACAGGAUCUGACUCAGGUUCCAGCUCCAAUAACAGCCUCACUGUGUUUUCAACCUACAUUAAGUAUAAAAGGUCUUAGUUAAAAAUUAUUCAAACAAAAAACAAUAGUGUUAAUAGAUAUGAUGAGUCUUACGCAACAGCUCUAUUUAAUGCAUGUGAAUCAUCUUGUCUAGCAAAUCACCCUGUCACCUCUCAAAAAGUUAUAGAUGAAAGAAGAAAAGAAAAUAUAAUGGGUGGUUAACAAAGUCUUCUGCUUACCACUUUUUCGAAAAUCUUAAGUUGGUAUGAUGUAGGCCAAAAUCAUUUUAUAUUUUACAUUCUUGCUGAUAUGGGGGGAUUUGAGUCAUACAAUGGAGCUUUGGGUGAGAGUAAUUGAGCAUAGACCGAGGUAGUCUCAGACAAUCAAUUGAGGUUCAUGCCAGGUCACUCAACUAAAGAGGCUUCUUUGAAAGAUUCUAGAUAAGAAAGGAGUACGAGUAGCAUAUGUCCAAGCAAUAAAGGAUACGUACGAUAGAGCAAAGACUGCAGUAAGAAUUCAUGAAGGACCAACUGAGCUUUAUGUCCUAACCUUGUUGCAUUGGUAAUGAAUGAGUUAACAGGACAUAUUCAAGAUGAUAUCCCUUGGUGUACGCUUUUCACAGAUGAUAUAGUGUAGAUAAAUGUAACACAAGAGGGAGUACAUGCAAAACUUAACCUUUCGCAGGAAGUGUUGGAACCUAAAGGUCUUCACCUAAGUAGGUCAAAGACAGAGUAUAUGGAGUGCAAGUUCAGUGGGAAUGAGGUCCAAAUGAGAUAAGGUUGAGGAUUGGAGAUCACGAAGUACCAAAGAGUGAGCGUUUUCGUUUCUUAGAUCUAUCUUGCAAAAAAAAGGGAGAAUUAGAUGGGGAUCUCAACCAUAGAAUAUUAAGUUGGAUGGAUGAGAGUGGAAGAGUGCAUCAGGUGUGUUGUGU
rnacentral:lncRNA from 1 species